UGUGCCAUAAGCACUCAUAUUGCAGCAGCAACUAUGAAAGGUACCCUUUUCUCUUCAAAUCCUCUACAGCAUCCUUAAUAAUCUUCUCCAUUGGAAUGAAUUGCAAACCCAAAUCCAUAAGUUUCUUUGAUCCAUCCUUCACUCUCAAUAAUCCUGGUUGGGUAUCUCGUUGCAUCCUUUCAAGCAAAAUCACAUAGUACAUCAUUUACAAGUAUGUUAUGUGUCAAAGUAUCACUAGAAGAAUUAUAUUAACCUUGUAUUUUGAUUAUGAAGACAAUAUACAAACAAGUCUAAAAGAACUAUUCAGAUUAACUAAUCACUUCUUCCUUGCCUGUUCAAGAACUAAUAGGAAAGCUGCACACUAACUACAACAUGUACUAUCUCUUGCAACAAAAGCCUAGUUCAUAAAUAAGCAUAAGAAACAACAACCUAAAGAUUAAUGGCAUACAAGAUAGAUACAUCAGUAAGAGCAUGACUGAAAAGUAAAAACCAACGUUGCAGUGCACAUGAACCAAAUUGUUGUGUUCAAAUAAGAGUAAGAAGUUUCUUCAAUAACACUCAUUCAAGCAAUAUAUCUAAUUCCUGAAUUACCGACCAAACGAUUAUUGCAUUGCAUUGACUAUACAUCUACUAGUGUGUGGCUAACUUACUUAGGCACAUUGUACUCUGGAUAAAGUUCAGCAACUUUGGCAACAAAAUCACCAUAGUGAGAGAUAGAUUCAACACACACAUGCCUACCAACUGCAGAUUUGUUCUCAUACACCAAAAUAUGCGCCAAUGCUACAUCCUUAAAGUGGACUGUUCCCAUAAAAAAGUUCUCAUAUGUAUCAUCACAACCUGCAACACAAAAUACAAAAUAUCACAAAUUCUCAGUAACUCCCCUAAAAAGUUAUAAAUUGGGUAGUUUGAUAUUAGUAUUCGGGUCAACAAUGAUUGUAGAUGGCAAAAUCUAAUGAAAGGAAUACAACAUAAUCAAACAAGCCUGAUACUUUUCAAGAAGUUAUCAAGUUCUAAAUGUCCUACUCAGCUAUACUAUCAACUACGCAGUAGCUGGUUUUGUAAAAUAAGCCUAAUAACUAUGUCACAGCAACUGUUGCGGCAUUUAUUUGCCAUUUUAAAACCUUGACCCCUAAAAUUCCUUUAUUCUUCUUAGUACAUUGCAAAUCCCUUUUCACACAGUUAAAAACCAAGCAAUCUACUUUUCUCUUGUGACUCAAAGAUACUUCAGUAACAAUGCCACUUCUCCAGUUCACAUUCCCAAUAUUCAGGGACACUCCUACUGCAAAAUUAGAAAGAAAUAUUUGCAAAAUCCAAUUGAUUAACCAGCAGUUUGUACCUUGAAGAAGGCGCACGAACAUGACCAUGCUUCCAUUAAGCCUCGGUGCAAUAACCGGACCCACCACAUUGCCAGGAUUCACUACUACAACAUCCAACCCAGUCUCCUUUGCAAAAUCCCAAGCUGCUUUCUCGGCCAAAGUCUUGGACAAUGGAUACCACAACUGUUGCACACACAAACACUUCACACACACAUAUAAGAAAAAGAAACAGAAACUGAAAAAAAAUGAAAACCCUUUCUAACCCCAUUUUGCUUGCAAAAUUCAACGUCAGUCCAGCAGUUCUCCGUCUUUGGAACAUCACCGGGCCAAUUGGGGCUCGGAGUAAUCGCGGAGACAGAGGACGUGACCACCACGCGACGAACUCCAGCUUCUUUCGCUGCCGUCAGCACGUUCAUGGUGCCCUUUAUCGCAGGGUCCAAAAGCUCCUUCUGCAUUAAGACCCAAAUGGGGUCAUGCAAAAACCCAAAAGAUUGAAAAUUUUCGAGGAGCUCGGGGGAACAAGACCUGGGGGUCCUGGACUUGUUCAACAGUGCAGGGAGAGGCGACAUGGAAUACGCCGGCGCAGCCGCACACGGCGGCGAGGACGGAGUCGUAGUGGAGGAGCUCCAUCUGGAAGAGGCGGAGGCGCUCCGACGCUCCAUCCAAGGCUUCUAGAUGCUUCGUCUCGCCCUCAUCGUCUGUUAGAAAAAGUUGUGUUGUGCUGUGUAAGUAUUGAGAUCAAAUGAAUGAAUAAUGAGAGUGUGGAUUGUAUUAACUGAGAUUUUGGACGGUGGCGUGAACGGUGUAGCCGCGGUCCAGAAGGAGGUGGACGAGCCAUGAACCGAUGGCGCCGCUGCCGCCGGUGACACACACCACCUUCUCCAUUUGGCAACUGUAUUCUAUCAACCUCCAGUUUUGUACUGUUCCAGUGUAAUCUGCUGAGGCAAAAAAUAAUUAUAAUUUGAAGUCAUAUCUGUACAAAAAAAUAUAUAUGAGUGGUGCAUAAUGAAUCUCAACACUCACAAAAAUCUCAUUAAAUUUUAUUAUUAUUAUAUUAUCAUCUUACAUGCACCAUAUCAGCAAAACCACAAAUUGCAUCACAUUUUGCAACAGAUGCAGGAAUUGAACCAGAAAUCAGAUGAUAGCAUAUACAAUGUUGUGAUGAAAAUUGGCAUGCUUAUUAUUAUUCAUUAAGCAAUAAUAUAUUAUAGAAGUAUUUUAAUCACUGGAUAUUGUUCUACUAGAUGUAAGAAACAGGUCAGUGACUUCUGUUGUUGAAAAAGUAGUAUAAUAGUUAUAAUAUAAUGUGAUUAAAAACCAUUUUUAUUGUUUUAAUAUACUGCUAAUACUACUAUAAUUAAUGUUAUAUUAAACGUUCAUAAUAUUAUUGUUACAACGUAAACCCACCCUUUAAUUGCAAUUUGUACUAUAUUAAAAUAUGAUGUCAACAUAUAUGUUAUUAUAUUAUUAAUGUUAUUAUCCUUUGGAUUUUUGUGUAUGUUUUUAUUUGGAUUUUCGUUUAUUCAAAAUUUUCAAGUAAAACAUUUAUUCAUUUGAGUGGAUUUUUUUAAAGGACUCAACUACGACCUGCUUCACGUGACAGAUGUUACACCUUAAGUACAUUACACCUUUAGCUCUCACAGUAUUCAAUUAACGCUUGAUUUAGCUUUCUGCAGUGUCUUUAUUCCUUAUCUUUCCUUUUGUCAUCAUUUUUAAUGUGCUUCUCUUACACUCUACUUCAUAAAGUUUAUAACCUACAACUUGCUUAAGCAACUUUCUUCUUACAUGGUUGUGCUCACACUUUACCUCAUUUGUCCUUCAUCGCAUCAGAAGUUCAGAUUGUUCACUUAUUUUUGUAAGACGUUAUUCAAAUUUUUGUUUCAAACUCUUGCAAUUUAAAUCGAUUGUUUUAUCCAAUGUUUUUUUUUUAUGGUUGUCUGUCCUUUUCAUAUCUUAUUUUCAACAAAAUGGCUUAUGAAGAACUUCUCCAUAUGUUGUUUGUUUUCACUUAUGGUUAUUGUUCUUUGUCUGCAUUCUAAUUUUUAAGUUUAAUUUUUAGUUAUCUUUAUAUUGGCAUUUCGGAUUAAAUGCAUCUUCAAUUAUUUUUGUAUGAUUUUUUUCCAUUGCUUACUUACUCUGUUUUCUAUUAAAAUUAAAACUUAUUACUUCUUUCAUGGUGGAUUUCAAGCUUUUGUGCUAAAGAAAUGACCUUUACAACUACAACAUCAGCUGUUUUCUAAAUACUUUUUGUUCUCGUUGUUUUUUUAAAAAAAUAUAAUACUAUUUAGGCAUGUAUUGUGCUCCGCUAGAUUUUAUUUAUGUGUUGUCUCAUAAAAGUCUUUCAUUUCACAGUAAAAUGUAUAGUGCAACUUAAAGAGAAAACCACUAUUUCGUUAUGUGUUCUUUUUCAUUAUAUUUUUCUCAAUUUUAUUCUAGUUGUUUUGUUUAACCUAUAUAUGCUUAUGUUGUUUUUAUGUUUUUCUUUUUUUUGUCAUAAGAUUUUGUAUUUAUGAACCUCUUAUUCAGAUUGUGUAACAUUUGAAUCUGGUUUGUUGCACACACUAACAUUGGCAGCUAAAACAAAGUUUUAUUGUUAGUUUAUAUUUACGAAUGUAUGUGUUCUUCUAUUUAUUUAUGUCCUUUCUUAUUUGACCUAUGUCUUUGACUAAUUGAUCAACACACCAAAUCUUCGCAACUACAAAAAUCUUUUAGUAUGCAAGAAUACAAUGUUGUUCCUUCUUCUUCACAAGUUUUAACAAAUUUGGUUUGCUUAUUUUGUUUUUAUGUAUUUUUGCUUUUUUUUUUAUAUGAUUAUGUAAUUAUGAACCUCUUAUGUUGUUGGAUGUCCAGAUUGUGUAACAUUUUAAUCUAAUUUGUUGCACACAAUUAGAUUGGCAGCUAAAGCAAAAUUUUAAUGUUAGUUUAUAUUUACGGAUUUCUGUGUUAUUCUAUUUAUUUAUGUCCUGUUUAUUUAACCUCUGGCUUUGAAGGAUUCAUCAACACACCAAAUAUUGGCAACUCCGUCAAGGAGAUACAUCCUAGAUUUUUUUUUUCUUCUUGUUUUCCAUGCUUGUAAUGCCCAACAUGAGUAUCUAAUUCUACCCUUUGAGAUUUGAGAUUUUCUCUUUAGUUGUUCCUCUACUCUAACACAAAGUUGAACUAAAUCAUUUAAAUCAUUAUAAGGAAAAAGUUCAACUUUAUCCUUAAUUUCAUAAUUAAGACCACUUUGGAAUCGAGCCCUAAUCCGUGCCCUUAACAUAAAUAACUCAAUUAUCUGCUUCUAUUGUUCUACAAUCAUGUUUAUAUGCGUUAACUUAUUGAGUUGUUUCAUCAACUCUCUAUCAUAUUAGGAAGGCUCAUACCUCUUCCUAAGAGCUGAUCUAAACUCAUUCCAAUACCUUAUUUAGGGAAAAUUAUGCAACCUAAGAUCUUUUGUAUAGGUGGUCCACCAAGUCAUGGUUGAAUCUUGAAAACUAAGGGUAGCUAAGGUAUCCCUCCUCUCAUGAUUUAUUUGGUGAGCCGAAAAAAAUUUCAACCUUCAUCUCCAAGGUUACGUAAUCUUCUAUAUUUGAUGAAAAAUGAAAAUAAGGAAGGUCAAUCUUAGGCUCUUUAGGCACAUGAUGGGCUCGAUGUCUAUGUUGUCUAGCAUUUUAUUGGUAGUAGUAUGUAUUGUGAUACCUACUAUAAUCAUAUUGGCUUUGGUAAGGGAUUGUAUGAUGAUUGCUUAUAUGUUUGUGAGAUCCCUCUCUUAGGAAAUCACAAAUUUAGAAAUUAUUUCUUUCAAUUCUGAAAAAUUCAUUUGCUUGUUUUGUUACUCUUUCAUAGACAUUAAAAGAAUCUUGAGUGUUUUGAUUACCAUGAACACUAGAUUGAUGUGAAGGAUCACCCAUUGUUGAAUUAAAAUAGAAAAAGUUUUCACAAAAAUUUACAAUUCAAUUGAGUGAUCAAAAUAUUUUUUGAAAAUAUUUUUUUAAUUUUUGGUGAAGUAAAUAGAUCAAGUAUGAGAGUUCUCCAAGUUCACUCCCACGAAAAGUGAGGUGAGUCACAAUGGACUACUUACAUACCAAGAGCUUAUCCCAAAUAAUUCUCAACAUAAGUUCCCUCAAAAUAAUUUUAGAAAUGAGAGUGGGUGUUUGAAUGUCGAAAUGAAACUAAAGAUCAAAGGAAGAUCUACUAAUAAGCAAAAAAAGAUAAAAAUCCUAUGUAUCACAGAUACUUAAAAGCAAGAAAAUAAAGGAAGGAAAUAAAGGAAGGAAAUAAAAGCAUGAAAUUAAAGCAAGAAAUUAAUGCUAGUGAAAAGUAAAUUAGCCGCAUCCUAAAGUUCAAGUGCAAUUGACACUAAGACUCCAGCAGCACACUUACACCACUAAUGCACAUGUAAUCUAAGAAUUUGAAGUAAAAUAAGUACAAAAGAAGAUGGACAACAAUAUAGAUAAAUAGUUAAGUGAAUCUCAAGAGAACAUUACAAAGAACUUACUUGAAAUGGACUUUAUUAAAAAUUUUAAUUUCAAGAAAUAUACUAAGUUAUGUUGGAGAUCCCACAUCGACUAGAGAUAAGGACAUUUCAUAAUAUAUAAAUGGGUGCAGACCUCAAUCUUAUGAGCCGGUUUUAUGGGGUUGAGUUAGCCUUAAAGUCCACUUCGCAAUAAGUUACUUUUAUACAUAUAGCUUAAUGAACAUAUCAAGGCAUAAGUAAGUAUAUUUGAUUAUUGUUAUAUAACAAAUUCAUUUGUAAUUCACAUUCCUAAAAGUAUUUACAAAAGAUUCGAAGUAAAGCAUGUCCUUAUCUCAAGAUGCACUACUUGUAAACAAAUAACCCAUCAUAUUCUACAUAUUCCUUUGACAAACUUGAUUACCCGAACUAGAAGUUGCUCAGUUGGAGAUCUCACAUCGACUAGGGAUUAGAGCCUUUUAUUGUAUAUAAAUGGAUGCAAACCUCAACCCUGUGAGCCGGUUUUAUGGGGUUGAGUUAGGCUUAAAGUCACAUCUCUAUCUUAGUGGAAAGUAUUGAAUAGAGUAUAAAUCAUAUACAUCUGUGUUAAAAUGAGUAUACAUCUAUAUUAAAAUGAGUGAUGUCAUUCAUACAUCUAAAGAAAUCAAUGUACAUUCUCAUUUCAUAAUAAAAAGAUAUGAAUGACAAUUACAACACAAAGACCCUACCUACCACGAGUUGGUCAUACUCUAAUCUACGCCCAUAAACUAUUUCCCGUGAGUUCUAGGCAUGGAGGCUUCUCAAUGUUUCAAGCUAUAAACAAAGACUGAGAAUUGUACACUCAAUCAUACAAUAAUAUAAAUAAAAACACAGGAAAAAUCAAUAUCCUCGCAUACAAUAACAUAAUCAAGAGGACAAAUUAUAAUAUACAUCAAAAAAUUAAUUUGGUGAAUUUAAAGACUCAACCAUACAUUCAAUCAAAUCAAAAUGUAUUUCACAAGUAUUAUUAUAGGAUAUGACAACCCAAACUAACAUCGUUUUCCUCCCUCAUCCAACGUCUACUUUCAUGACUUACUACUUAAAAGUACACCUUCAUUGAGAUUAUUUAAAAAAAAAACUUAAAUUGUUAUAUGAAGGUGCAUGGGGAAAAUAGAGAGUGGAGGAGAAUUUGCCAAACUAAUGCCCUUUUCUCUUUCCUUUUUUGUACGUAUGCAACACUUUAUAUUCUAAUUUUCAUGCACAUUUCAAUUCUUCACAAAUGACCUACAAACAAAUAGUGGUCCAUAUGCAUAAAACAAAAUGUAACUAGGGUUUCCAUUCGCAUGUAAACACCCCACGUUUUUCUUACUGUACCCAUAUAAAUUAUCCUUAUUAAUUUAUAAUAUUAUUAAUAAAUUGAAUUUUGAAAAAAUGAUUUUUCUCAUGAUUUAAAACUAAUUUGUUUAACAAUUUGAUACAUACAUUAUAUUAUAGUUAAUGAAAAUAAUAAUUAAUAACUAAAAUCUUAAUAACUAAUUAGAUACAAUUUAAAAAUUAUUUUAUAAUUUUUAUUAAUAAUAAAAACUAUUUAAAUACUAAUACUCAUUCAAUUAUAUCAAUUUCCUUCCAAAUCCUCCUCAUACAUAUAGUAAAGAAAUUGUUUUUCGUUUUCCAUGUUCUUUACACGUUUUCUAUUAAUUUCUUUGUGGACAAUAAGUUUAAGCAUUCCAUCUUCAUUUUGAAAAAAGAAACAAACAGGUGAGAGCUACUCAUACGCAAGUUCCUUUUUCAUACUAUUAGAGAAGUGUAGAUUAUGUCAUAGAAGAGCGUCUAAAGGUAACAGAGAUACAAAAAUGUGAAGACAACACAGAAACAUGACAGAAAUAGAGAUCCACCCAUGAACUAAAAUUAGGUAGAAAAUGUUUUACAAAGAUGUCUCUCGUCACUUGUUUUAGAACAAUGCAAACAUAACAACAACCACACCAACAAAUAUAACAGAUUAACAACAACAGGAAUUUGCACCAAACAUAUGUGCCAUAAGGACUCAUAUUGCAGCAGCAAUUAUGGAAGGAAUCCUUUUUUCUUCAAAUCCUCUACAGAAUCCUUAAUAAUCUCCUCAAUUGGAGUGAUUUGCAAACCCAAAUCCAUAAGUUUCUUUGAUCCAUCCUUCACUCUCAAUAAUCCUGGUUGGGUAUCUCGUUGCAUCCUUUCAAGCAAAAUCACAAAAUACAUCAUUCGCAACUAAGUUAUGCAUUAACAAUAGAUGUAUGAAGUGUGUGGGUAACUUACUUAGGCACAUUGUACUCUGGAUAAAGUUCACCAACUUUGGCCGCAAAAUCACCAAAGUGAGAGAUAGAUUCAACACACACAUGCCUACCAACUGCAGAUUUGUUCUCAUACACCAAAAUAUGUGCCAAUGUUACAUCCUUCAAGUGGACCGAUCCCAUAUAAAUGUCCUCGUAUGUUUCAUCAGAACCUGCGACGCGACAUACAAAUUUGUCUCAAAUUAUCAGUAAUUCCCCUAAAAAAAUCAUAACUUGGGGAGUUUGAUAUUAGUAUUCGAGUCAACAAUUAUACUGUGCAAAAUCUAAUGAAAAGAGUAUAGCACAAUCAAACAAGUCUAAUACUUUUCACGAAGGCAUCAAGUUCUAAAUAUCCUACACAGCUACACCAUCAACUACACUGUCGCAGGUCUUAGAAAACAUAUAAAAUAAUAAUAAAAUAAAAAUAUGAAUAAUAAAUUAAUAACAUAAUAAUAAUUAAAUAAUUAAAAUAAUAAUAAAUAAUAAACAAUAAUAAUGUUGGAGAUCUCACAUCGACUAAAGAUUAGAGUCUUUCAUUGUAUAUAAGUGGGUGCAAACCUUAAAUUUAUGAACUUGUGAGUCAUUUCAUUGUAUAUAAAUAAAUGAAAACCGAUUUUAUGGAGUUGACUUAGACUUAAAGUUUAUUUUGUAAUAAAUAAUAAAAAUAACUGAUAGUAAAAAUAUUAAAAUUAAAAUUAUAAACUAAUUAUAAUAUUAUAUUUUUUAUUUAAUUAAAUUAGUUUAUAAUAAUAUAAAUUAAUUAAUUAUUAUAUAUAUUAUUUUUAAAUUUUUUAAAAUUUAUUAUAUUUAUCAAAUUAGUAAUAAACUUAAUUCAAAAAACUUCAUUUUACUCAACUCCUCAAAUUCCCAGUAUCAAAUUUACUCUCCAUUUGAAAAAAACCCAACUUGAUACAAUGAGUUUAAAAAUAACUAUCUAAAAUAAAGAAUAAAUUUAUACUUAUAUAAUAUAAAAAAUAUAUAUUAAAAUAAUAAUAUUGAAAAUUGUAUAAAAAUACUGCAUUGUAUGAUUAUAUGAUUAACCCAAAAGAUAAAGCAUUCUCAAGCUUUUUGGGUAGUAGAAGAUUUCUUGAUACCAUAUUAUAAUAAUAUAAUAAUAUUUUAAAUUAAAAAUAAAUUAAAUAUAAUUAAAAUAUUAUUUUAAGGAUUUGUCAAGUGGAUUUUUUUAUUAUUGUAUGACCACCCAUUUUAGAACUUUUCCAGUUCACAUUUCCAAUAUUGAAGGAAACUCCUGCUGCAAAAAUAGAAAGAAAUAUUUGGAAAAUCCAACUGAUUAAGCAUUAGUGUCUCUACCUUGAAGAAGGCGCAAGAGCAUGAGCAUGCUUGCAUUAAGCCUGGGUGAAAUAAUCGGACCCAUCACAGUGCCAGGAUUCACUACAACAACAUCCAACCCACUCUCCUUUGCAAAUUCCCAAGCUGCUUUCUCCGCCAAAGUCUUCGACAAUGGAUACCACAACUGUUGCACACACAAACACUUCACACACCAACACAUAUAAGAAAAAGAAACAGAAAAUGAAAAAAAUGAAACCCUUUCUAACCCCUUUUUGCUUGCAAAAUUCAACGUCAGCCCAGCAGUCCUCCCUCUUUGGAACAUCACCGGGCCAACUGGGGCUCGGAAUAAUCGCCGAGACGGAGGACGUGACCACCACGCGACGCACUCCUGCUUCUUUCGCUGCCGUUAAUACGUUCACGGUACCCUUUAUCGCCGGGUCCAGAAGAUCCUUCUGCAUGAAGACUCAAAUGGGAUGAUGAAAAAACCCAAAAGAUUGAAAAUUUGUGAAGAGAUCGAGGAAACAAGACCUGGGGAUCCGAGACUUGAUCAACAAUGCAGGGAGAGGCGAGGUGGAAAACGCCGGCGCAGCCGCGCAUGGCAGCGAGUACGGAGUCAUAGUGGAGGAGCUCCAUCUGAAAGAGGCGGAGGCGCUCCGACGCUCCAUCCAAGUCUUGUAGAUGCUUUGUCUCGGCCUCAUCGUCUGUUAGAAAAGUUGUGUUGUGCUGUGUAAGUAUAUAUUGGGAUGAAACGAAUGAAUAAUAAAAGUUUGGAAUGUGCUAACUGAGAUUUUGGACGGUGGCGUGAACGGUGUAGCCGCGGUCCAGAAGGAGGUGCACGAGCCAUGAACCGAUGCCGCCGCUGCCGCCGGUGACACACACCACCUUCUCCAUUUUGCAGCUGUAUUCUAAGAUGCACUACUUGAAGAACUCCACUGUACUAAGAUAAUGAUGACACGUGUAAGAGAGGAAGAAACAAAGAAAACGAAAGACAGCCACAGAAAGAACAGAGAAAAAAUGAAAACGACGUUCAGAUAAAAGGCAAAAAAUGACCGAAGCAAACAGUUCCAAACAGCAAAAUAUUAGGUUUUAUUUUUUAGUGACUAAAUUAAUAUUGAAUUAUAAAUUUUUAAAGAAUACUUGUAUAAUGUAAUUGUCAUAUUUCUCUAUUAUGUAGAAUUGUAGUGAAAUGGAGGUUAAAUAAUGGUGCCCAACUUGCUAGCUGAAGGUUUUAAAAGGCAAGGAAAAAAUGAUAGCAAAUUAACCGUCAUGUACAAAAAAAGUGGUGGUCCCACAAUCACAAAAAUAGCAUAUAAAUUAAAUAAAAGAACUGACACGUAGAGUUUAGUGUAAUUUGAUGAUUUAUUUAUAAAUUAUUAUUUAUGGUUAUUUUACUGAUUUUUGUAAUAAGUAUUUGAUAUAGUUUAGGAGAGGAUAUGGUAUGCUUUAAUAAGAGGAUUUGAGCACACUUAAGCUUAAAUGAGUGUAUAUAAGCAACAAAAGAAAGAAAAAUAAAUCUAUACAAUUGUUGGAUCAUUCCAAGACUCAAUCAUAGAGGAACACAAACUCAUAGUAGAUAAUUUUUUCUUUUCAUUAAUUUAAUUUCCAACUCAUUGAGAUAAUUAUAAAAGCGUUUCUAUCCAUAACAUUAUGACAAAAUGUAGAGUACACCUUAUUUUCUUAAUAUAUAUAAUUUGACUUUUAUUAACCAAGUGGGCUUCUUCAAUGCCUAAAUCAUUUUAAUAUUUGGCUCCAUUAUUGUGUACCUGUUUCUCAUUUUCUGGUUCUUAUCUCAGACCAACUAAAGCCCACCACGUAUCGUUUCCCAAUUUUUACUUUAUGCAUAUGGACCCGCUUUUUGUUUGUUGCUAUUUUACUUUAUUCCUUUUCAUUUUAUUUUUAAUUCAAAAUAUUAUUAUAUUAUUAUAAGUGUUUGUUAAGUGUAUCUUAUUUACUGUUUUUUAUUGUUUAUGGUUUUAAAGAAACUUUUCUCUUUUGUCAUACAUUCACAUGGGGAGUGCUCAUUUGUUUGCAUGAAAAUUGAAAUACUAAGAGUUGCAGAUGUACAAGAAAGAAAGAGUAGCUCUAAACAAAGAAUAACUUUAUUUUUUAAAAUAAUUUCAGUAACAUUCUUAUAACUUUCUUUUAUUUACAGUACUUUCAUUCUUAUGUCGUAAAAUUAGAAAAAGUAGUUUUUUAUCAAUCAAUAUCGAACGGGUGAGUCAUUUAGUUUCGGAAAUCGAUCAACUGCGUUAAAAUACAUUUAAUACACUCAAUAAAUGACUAUUGUUACAAUUAUGAAAACUUCCGACAAAUCAAAGUCAUAUUCCAUCGAAUUUGGGUGACACCCCCAAGAAAAUAGCUAAUAUUGAUUUAUUGAAGAUAUUCUCCAAAUAUACAUCUCUAUAAUUCAAGGAAUCCCCUAAAAAGCCACUUAACACUGAUAUUUGAUAAAUGCGGUUCAUCACACAAAAUGACUCAUGACUAAACAUUAUAAAUAAAUAUUUUACAAAAGAGGAAUGUAUGUUUUUUAUCAGUUUCACUAUACACUCUUAACACAAGGUACUCACUUGAUCGUCGAAAAAUCUUUUGCAAGUUAACUCCUAAUCGACUAUUGAGAAAUUGAGGAUAGGGAGUCUUGAAGUUUGAAGGAGUGAAGUACUAAGGAGCAAGGGAGGGACCGACAACCAAAACAAUUGUUACAGUCAAUCCCAUGUACUAUUUAUGCUCACUUUGUCAAUACAAGUACAAGUUCCAUCAUUUCAACGUGUGUAAGAGGCUUGACGAGAAGAUUUGUUGUAUUCGACAUUCCCCAAUGCGAAGAUAAUUUUUUUUUUUUAGUUUUAUACUUCAUUUUUGCACAUCAUUUUUUUAUGAAUUUUGUGGCUUCCAAAAAAAGAAAAAAAAUAAAUGAAUAAAAACACAGUCACCAUGAGCAAUCACCAUCACUUGAAAAUGAAGAAGACACAACACUCUCCAUCAAAUAUUGUUGGAAUUAAAAAAGAGUAUGGAAGUGGAGAAUGAAGGUACGGAGAUGCAAGGAGAAUUUGCCAUCAAUUUUGUGCAUAUGGGAUUACUUUUUGCAUCACAUUUUGGUAUCACCCUUCCUUCAUAGGUGUUUCUUUCUGCACCUCUACAUUUUUCUUCUUGCACCUCUACAUUUUUCUUCUUGCACCCCUACAUUCAUGUGUAAUUACAAAGUAUCUCUAAGACAUCUAAAAAAACCCAAAAGGAGCAUAUCUCACUCUUUCUUUCUUCCUUUUCUACAAUUGUUGUGCACCUUGUUCAAGGAGCGAACAAAGGACAAUAAGUGGUAAUGCAUUGGGAUGUUGUUGGUGGUUCAUUUUCUGAAAUCUUGAUGGUGGUUAGAUGAUUUCUAAGAUGACUCUGUAUUAAGAAAAGAAGAUAAGUAAUAUUAUUUUUUGUUUACACUGUAUUGAGAAAAGAAGAUAAGUAAUAUUAUUUUUUGGUUACAUAUUGGAUGUUUAAUUUUUUAACUAAUUUUGAAUUCCGUAAUGCAACUUUUAGGAUUUCAGAGACAAGUGAGUCCGUAAUAGAGCACAUUGAUCCAAGAAUUAACUAGAUUGGUGUAUUUGUGUGGUUAUUUACACUUUAUAAACAUGGUUGUAAUUCCUAGCUGUAAUGGCAAAUAGAAAACUCUUGUAGCAGCCAAAUGGAUCCAGACUUUUUUUGUAAAAAACGUGGUGCCCCACUUGCAGCAAACAGAAAAUAACGAGUAAAUAAAAAAAUAGGGUUUGCAGGAAAUAUAGAAAACAAUGAGGAAAGAAAAGAAUGGCAUGUGAAGGCACUGUAAGGAAGGGUGAUGCCACAUCGUGAUCAGAAUGAGUGGUUGUGAUGGAUGAAUGAAUAAUUAAGAUUCCUUCACAUUCUAAACAGUAUCUCACUUUCAUUCUCUAACCAUUUAUAGUAAUAUCCCCACGUAUUCUUUCUUCUUUUAUAACAAAAACAAAAACAACCACCCCUUUUCUCUUUUCUUUUUUAAUUUACUACUUUUAAUAUUAUUAUUUUAAUAUUUUUUUAUAUCAUUUAAUUAUAAAUCAUUCUUUUAUUCUGCUCUCCAUGUGAAUGUUUGAAGAGUAAAUCAUCUAGGUGUCAAAAAGAACAUUGACAUAUUGGUUUAUAAUUAAAAAUUCUUGAUUCUACAUAUUUUUAACUUUGAGUAGGAAGUUGAUGUUAUAUUAUUAUGUUUAUAUUUAUUAGUUCAAAUUUAAUUGAAUUGAAUAACUGAUUUUUUUCUUUAAUUUAUAAUAGAAUUAAACAAUUAUUAAAAUAAUUCAUAUUUAUUAAAACUAACCACACCAACAAAAGUUUAACGAUACAUAUGAUAGUGCCUCAUUUUAGAACUAAGAGGAAUUUGCAGCAAACAUGUGGCUUUUAGGACUCGUAUUGCAGCAGCAAUUAUGCAAGGAAUCCUUUUUUCUUCAAAUCUUCUACAGCAUCCUUAAUAAUCUCUUCAAUUGGAGUGAAUUGCAAACCCAAAUCCAUAAGUUUCGUUGAUGCAUCCUUCACUCUCAGUAAUCCUGGUUGGGUAUCUCGUUGCAUCCUUUCAAGCAAAAUCACAAACUACAUCAUUUACAAGUACGUUAUGCAUUAACAAUACAUGUAUGAAGUGUGUGGGUAACUUACUUAGGCACAUUGUACUCUGGAUAAAGUUCACCAACUUGGGCUGCAAAAUCACCAAAGUGAGAGAUAGCUUCAGCACACAGAUGCCUACCAACUGCAGAUUUGUUCUCAUACACCAAGAUAUGUGCCAAUGCUACAUCCUUAAAGUGGACCGAUCCCAUAAAAAUGUUCUCAUAUGUUUCAUCAGAACCUGCCACGCCACAUACAAAAGGUCACAAAUUCUCAGUAAUUCCCCUAAAACAUCAUAAAUUGGGUAGUUUCAUGUUAAUAUUCCGGUCAACGAUUAUAGAUUAUAUGGUAAAAAAUUUAAUAAAAAAAAAGUGUAGUGAUUUUCACGAAUUAUAAAUGUCCUACGCAUCUAUACCAUCGACCAAGUUGUAGCAGGUCUUGUGAAAUUAGUCUAAUAGUUAGGUAACAACAACAGUAGCCCUAUUCACAUUAUACCAUUUUAAUCAGUUAAAAAUGUAUGCAUCAUUCAUCACAAGAUCCCUAACAUGGUGUUAAAUAGUGGUAUGCGACUAUGACUUUAGUGGUUCCGUCCACAGAUUUGGACGGAUGAAUACAAACAGAAAGCAUGAAAAUCAAAAGUAAAAAAUUGUUAGAUUCUUUCCUCGCAUAGCUGUGAGGAGUAGCAAAGAAAGUUGAAUAAACAUUAUAAUCAUAUAUUUACAAUAAAAUAUAUAUUCUAUAACGGAUCAUUACAUAGUCUGAUGACAUAUAUUUAUCAAAUAAUCCAUUUUUUUAAUAAUAUAAUUGAUUAUGGAAUAUACAUGUUAUUAUAUUUUUAUAUAAUUAUUAUAUUAUAUAUAUACACUAAAAAAAAUAUAAAUAUAGUAAAAAAAAUAAUUAGUUGUUAUAAUAACUAAAUUAGAAAUUAUUUUAAAAACUAAAAAAAAUAAUUUUUAAAUUAGUUUAUAUUAUUAUUAAAUAGUUUUGUAAUUUGUAUUUAAUUAGCUACCAAGGUUUUAACUCCCAAUUAUUUAAUUUCUAAAUUUGGUCGUAAAAAUUUUGGUUGCUAAUUAAAUACUAAUUUAAAAAUUAUUUAAUGAUAAUACAAACUAAUUUAGAAACUAAAGUUUUUUUUUCUCUAAAAUGAUUUAUAAUUUAGUUACUAUAUCAACUAAAUAUUUUUUAUUCUCUAAACAUAGUUUUCUAUUUGAUGUUUUUUUUUAGUGAUAUUAUUAAUUGAUUAAUAUUUGUAUUUUUAUUCUAAACAUAAUUAAUUAUACAAUAUAAUACAAUGUAAUAAUAAUAAGUAGUCAAACAAUAAAGAAAUAUAAAAUAAUAAUAAUAAAAUAGUCUCUACCUUGAAGAAGGUGCAAAAGCAUGAGCAUGCUUGCAUUAAGCCUCGGUGCAAUAACCGGACCCAACACCAUCCCAGGAUUCACUACAACAACAUCCCACUCACUCUCCUUUGCCAAAUCCCACGCUGCUUUCUCGGCCAAUGUCUUCGACAAUGGAUACCACAACUGUUGCACACACAAACACUUCACACCCCAACACAUAACAAAAACAAACACAAAAUUCAAAAAAUGAAAACCCUUUCUAACCGCUUUUUCCUUGCAAAAUUCAACGUCAGUCCAGCACUCCUCCUUCUUUGGAACAUCACCGGGCCAAUUGGGGCUCGGAACAAUCGCGGUGAUGGAGGACGUCACCACCACGCGACGCACUCCAGCUUCUUUCGCUGCCGUUAGCACGUUCACGGUGCCCUUUACCGCCGGGUCCAGAAGAUCCUUCUGCAUGAAGACCCAAAUGGGAUGAUGCAAAAACCCUAAAGAUUGAAAAUUUGCAAGAAGAUCGAGAGAACAAAACCUGGGGGUCCUGGACUUCAUCAACAAUGCAGGGAGAGGCGAUGUGGAAUACGCCGGCGCAGCCGCGCAUGGCUUCGAGUACGGAGUCGUAGUGGAGGAGCUCCAUCUGGAAGAGGCGGAGGCGCUCCGACGCUCCAUCCAAGGCUUUUAGAUGCUUUGUCUCGGCCUCAUCGUCUGUUAGAAAAGUUGUGUUGUGCUGUGUAAGUAUAUAUUGGGAUGAAACGAAUGAAUAAUGAGAGUGUGGAAUGUACUAACUGAGAUUUCGGACGGUGGCGUGAACGGUGUAGCCGCGGUCCAGAAGGAGGUGGACGAGCCAGGAAGCGAUGGCGCCGCUGCCGCCGGUGACACACACCACCUUCUCCAUUUUGCAACUUAAUUCUAACACGAAAACGAUCACUAGAGACUUGAGAAGUCCACUUUGAAAUCAAGAGAAGAAGAAAGAAACAAGUGUAAUGAUGUGACGAACAUACACAUUUUUAUAGAAUAAUAUCACUUCAAUACUAUUAUUUUAAACAUCUAUACAUCCGUAUUUUAUUAUUUUAUUCAAUUUUUAUGUUAAAUUUCAUAAAAAAUUAACAUUAAAUAUAUAAAAAAUAUUACUUAAAAAAUAUUUAUUUUCUUUUUCAAUUUGAGUUUUUUUUUUUUUGAAGUUUUUACUCUUCUUCCAUUGAUAGUUUUGGAAUGAGAGAGUAUAAUGAUGAUAAUGAUUUUAUAAAAAAAUAUAAUUGUUUCUAAUGAGGAAUUGAAAAUAAAUGUUAUUUUAUUUGUUAAAUUUUAUGUAAAAACUUGAUCGUAUGUUUUAUUUUUUUCUUUUGUCUUAAAAUUAAGAAAAGAGUAGGAGAUGUGCAUAUGCAAUAAUAUUAAAAUAAAAAAUAGUUUUAAUUUUUAAUUAAUUUAUAUAAAAUAAUAAAAUAUUUAAUUAUAUUAAUAAAAUGAGAUAUAUUAAAUAAAGAUAAAAUAAAUUAUACACUAAAAAUCGAUUAUAAUAAAAAAAUUAUAUAUAGAUAUAAAUAUUUUUUUAUAUUAUUUAAUUUCAAAGUUAGUCUUUAUUAUAUAUAUUUAAUUGUCAAACUGUAUUAAAAAAAAAAGACAGGGACAGUAGAAUUAAUUUGACAGAAAACGAAAGACAUGGAAAAUUUGACAACAAAAAUAUCGAAAUCAGCAAUGCAGAAUUAAUUAUAGGAAAGUUGGUGAGUACGAAAACCAAUCCAAUUUUUUAAAGGAUCCGGAUUUUUGACAACGUACGCAUCGUAUAACUCUGAAAAAAUCUUAAUAUUUUAAUAGUGUGUGAUCUUCUGUCAUAUUGGAAUCUUUUUCUUAUCUUUUUUGUAGUUUUCAUAUUUUGAGGUUUCUUUCUUUUUUUUAAGCUUCACUAUGUAUUUGCAAAUUUUUCUUUGUGCACUGAAACAUUUAUUUUUUCUUCUGUAUUGUUUUUAUUUGAUCUCGGUUUUAUUUAUUGUUAUCGUUAUUCAUAAUAAUAUUAUUUUUAUUAAUACUAUUAUUAAAAUUAAUAAUAAUACUAAUACUAAUAUUAAUAAUAAUUUAAAUAAUAAAAAUAAUUUUAAUAUUACUACUAAUUAUAAUAAUAUUAUUAUUAUUAGUAAUAAUAUUAGUAUUAGUAGUAAUUAUAAUAAUAAUAAUUAUUAUUAUUAUAAUAAUAUUUUUUAACUAGUGUUAUUUAUUUAUCUUUAUAUUCUUACAAUUCCGAUUUAAUUUAGUCAAAUAUAUUCUUAAAGAAAAAAAAUAUUUAUUGUCAAACAUAAUUUUGAAUUGGAUUUUUUGACAUCAUUGUUAUAAUUUUAUUCAAAAUGAUUUUUUUUAUGUUUAAAUUUCAUAUUGUGAUUAAAUUUAGUAUGAAAGAUUUUAUUUAUUGAAGUACUGAGCAAUUGGACUCGAGUAUGAUUGAGGUUAAUCCGUUGGUCAUUUAAAAAAAUGGUUUAGGAAGUGGUGACCUAGUCUAACGGUUAGAGAGGAUGAUGAAUAAGGUGAAUUGAGUUUGUUUAUAACACAUUAAAUUUAUUAUUCACAUGAAAUUUAUUUUUCACAUGAAAAAUGAAAUCUAUUACUUUAAACAUGAUUGUUAAUAUGGAUAACAAAGACCUACUAACUAAUAAAAUUGUCUUAAAUCAUAAAUUAAAAUUAUUCUACACAACUACAAGUUGGAUUGAUUCGUUAUAAUAAUUGUACACGGAUAACAGUAACAUUAGAGAAAUUCAGCUUGUACGAGACUGUUUUCUCAAUGCCUUGUUUGAGAUUUUAUAUUUUGUUUGACUGUGUGGCUUUGUCGGUAUGGUAGACGUUCCUUGGUAGAAAGAGGAUAAAGUACAAAUUUGUAUAAGGGUUAGACCACUAUGUAGUGGUUCAUAUUUAUUAUUUUUUAUUGAUAAUAAAAAAACAAUUUUAUUAUCAUUUUAUUUUAUUUAUUUUGAUGGAUGUAUUACAAUAGUAUAAUAAAUUAUUAUAGAAUCAUAAUUUUGUAUUAGUUUUUUUUUACGUUCAAGUUAUAUUUAGUAUGUAUUUUUUUAAAAUAAAAUCAUAUUUAUAGAUUUUUGAACUUAUUGAAAUAUCGAAUAAAAUUAUUUGAAAAAUCUAUUAUUGAAUAUUAUAGAUCAUUCCAAGACUCAAUCAUAGAGGAACACAAACUCAUAGUACCAAAGGAUAACUUUUUUUUCAUUAAUUUAAUUUCCAACUCAUUGAGAUAAUUAUAAAAGCAUUUCUAUCCAUAACAUUAUGACAAAAUGUAAAGUACACUUUAUUUUCUUAAUAUAUAUAAUUUGACUUUGAUUAACCAAGUGGGCUUGCUGAUAAAAAAAAAACCAAGUGGGCUUCUUCAAUACCUGCAUCAUUUUAAUAUUUGGUAACAUUGUUUAUGGUUUCCCAAUUUUUACUUUAUGCAUAUGGACCCACUUUUUGUUUGUUGCUAUUUUACUUUAUUCAUUUUCAUUUUAUUUUUAAUUCAAAAUAUUAUUAUAUUAUUAUAAGUGUAUCUUAUUUACUGUUGUUUAUUGUUUAUGGUUUUAAAGUAACUUUUCUCUUUUGUCAUACAUUCACAUGGGGAGCGCUUAUUUGUUUGCAUGAAAAUUGGAAAUAAGGAGUUGAAGACGUACAAGAAAGAAAGAGUAACUCUAAAUAAAAGAAUAACUUCACUUUUUAAAAUAAUUAGUACGUUGAACCGUGGAACGCACGGGAAUUUUUUCAAUAUUUUAUAUGUAAAUAUUAAUAUUAAAAUUAAUAAUUUAAUUUAUUUAUAUAUAAUUUCAGUUAUACUUCCGUAUUUUUAUAUCUUUCUUAUAUAUUUUUAGUUGUAAUAUUUGAAAAAGUAGUUUUUGGAUCGAUCAAUACCAAAUGAGUGAGUUAUUUCACUUUGAAAAUUUAUCAACCACAUUAAAAUACAUUUAAGACACUCAAUAAAUGAGUUGCAACAAUUAUGAAAACUACCUACAAAUCAAAGUCAUAUCCCAUCUCGGUGAUACUCCGGGAAAAUAAUUAAUAUUAAUUUAUUGAAUAUAUUAUCUAAAUAUACAUAUCUAUAAAUCAGGGAAUCUCCUUAAAAAAUCACUUAACACUGAUAUUUGAUAAAUUCGACCCAUAACAAGAAAUGACUCAUGAGUAAACCCUUUACAAAGAAGGAAGAUACGCUUUUGAUCAAUUUCACUAUACACUCUUAACACAAGGUACUUACUUGAUCGUUGAAAAACCUUUUGCAAGUUAACUCCUAAUCGACUAUUGAGAAAUUGAGGAGAAGGAGUCUUGAAGUUUAAAUGAGUGAAGUACUGAGGAGCAAGGGAGGGACCGACAACCAAAACAAUUGUUACAGUCAAUCUCAUGUUAUAUCUAGUCUCACUUUGUCUAUACAAGUACAAGUACCAUAAUUUCAUCGUGUGUAAGAGGCUUGACGAGAAGAUUUGUUGUAUUUGACAUUCUCUAGUGGAAAGACAAUUUUUUUAGUUUUGUACUUCAUUUUUACACAUUGUUUUUUUGUGGUUUCCAAAAAAAAAAAAAACAAAACAAAAACAGAGUCACCACCGAACAAUCAUCAUCACUUGAAAAUGAAGAAGAUACAACACUCUCCAUCAAGUAUUGUUGGAAUUAAAAAAGAGUAUGUAAGUGGAGGAUGAAGAUAUGGAGGUGCAAAGAGAAUUCGCCAUCAAUUUUGUGCAUAUGGGACUACUUUUUUCAUCACAUUUUGGUAUCACCCUUCCUUCAUGGGUGUUUCUUUCUGCACCUUUAUAUUUUUCUUCCUGCACCCCAACAUUCAUGUGCAAUUACAAAAGUAUCUCUAAGACAUCUAAAAAACCCAAAAGGAGCAUAUCUCACUCUUUCUUUCUUCCUUUUCUACAAUUGUUGUAAAAAACGUGGUGGCCCACUUGCAGCAAACAGCAAAUAAUGGGCAAAGAAAACACGAUGACCCCACUUGCAGCAAACAGAAAAUAAUGAGUAAAUAAAAAAAUAGGGUUUGCAGGAAAUAUAGAAAAGAAUGAGGAAAGAAAAGAAUGGCAUGUGAAGGCAUUGUAAGGAAGGGUGAUGCCACAACGUUAUGAGAAUGAGUGGUUGUGAUGGAUGAAUGAAUAAUUAAGAUUCUUUCACAUUCUAAACAGUAUCUCACUUUCAUUCUCUAACCAUUUAUAGUAACAUCCCCACUUAUUCUUUCUUCUUUUAUAACAAAAAACAUAAACAACCACCCCUUUUUUCUUUCCUUUCUUUUAUUUACUACUUUUUUUAUAUCAUUUAAUUAUAAAUCUUUCUUUUGUUCUGAUCCCCAUGUGAAUGUCUGAAGAGGAAAUCAUUUAGGUGUCAAUAAGAACAUUGACAUAUUGGUUUAUAAUUAAAAAUUCUUGAUUUUGCAGACUUUAACUUUGAGUAGAAAGUUGAUAUUAUAUUAUUAUGUUUAUCUAUUUAUUAACUCAAAUUUAUUGAAUUGAAGAACUGAUUUUCUGCUUUGAUUUGUAAUAGAAUUAAACAAUUUUUAAAAUAAUUCAUAUUUAUUUAUUCCUUCAUACUAAUAAUAAAACUAACCACACCAACAAAAGUUUAACAACACAUAUGAUCGUGCCUUAUUUUACAACAACAGGAAUUUGCACCAAACAUAUGUGCCAUAAGGACUCAUAUUGCAGCAGCAAUUAUGGAAGGAAUCCUUUUUUCUUCAAAUCCUCUACAGAAUCCUUAAUAAUCUCCUCAAUUGGAGUGAUUUGCAAACCCAAAUCCAUAAGUUUCUUUGAUCCAUCCUUCACUCUCAAUAAUCCUGGUUGGGUAUCUCGUUGCAUCCUUUCAAGCAAAAUCACAAAGCACAUCAUUUACAAGUAAGUUAUGCAUUAACAAUACAUGUAUCAAGUGUGUGGCUAACUUACUUAGGCACUUUGUACUCUGGAUAAAGUUCACCAACUUUGGCUGCAAAAUCACCAUAGUGAGAGAUAGCUUCAACACACACAUGCCUACCAGCUGCAGAUUUGUUCUCAUACACCAAAAUAUGUGCCAAUGCUACAUCCUUAAAGUGAACCGAUCCCAUAAAAAUGUCCUCAUAUGUAUCAUCACAACCUGAGACGCAACAUACAAAAUGUCACAAAUUCUCAGUAAUUCCCCUGAAAAAUCAUAAAUUGGGUAGAGUUUGAUAUUUGUAUUCGGGUCAACGACUAUAGUGUGCAAAAAUAUAAUGAGAAGAGCAUAGCAUAAUCAAAUAAGUCUAAUACUUUUCACGAAGGCAUCAAGUUCUAAAUGCCCUACGCAACUAUAUACCAUGAACUAAGUUGUAGCAGGUCUUGUGAAAUUAGUCUAAUAACUAGGUAACAGAAACAGUAGCCCUAUUCACAUGAUACCAUUUUAUUCAGUUAAAAUAUUAUACAUUAUUCAUAAUAACAAGGUCCCUAACAUGGUGUUAAAUAGUUUUUUUAUGAGAAAAAAAAAUAAUCAAAAUAUUUCAAUUCAACCGUUAUAAGUCAUAACUAACUAGAUCUCUUAUAUUCAAUAAACAAGUUUCUAAAACAAACCCAAAACAUGACAAUCUACCAACAUGGUUUUCAAUAAUGGUAUGCAACUAUGACUUUAGUAUACAAUUCUUCUCAAAGGAUAUUUUCCUUUAAAAGAAAAAUUCCUUUGUCUUUCUGAGUGUCUCUCAGACACACCUUUCCAUGCAAUCAACGUUUCUCUAGUGGCUCAGUAAUACUUCUGUAAUAAUGCAGAAUAUUUCAGCACUUCUCAAUAUUCAAGAGACUCCUACUGCAAGAUUAGAAAGCAAUAUUUGGAAAAGGCAAUUGAUUAAGCAUAAGUCUCUCUCUACCUUGAAGAAGGCGCAAGAGCAUGAGCAUGCUUGCAUUAAGCCUGGGUGCAAUAACCUCACCCAAAACAAUGCCAGGAUUCACUGUAACAACAUCCAACCCACUCUCCUUUGCAAAAUCCCAAACUGCUUUCUCCGCCAAUGUCUUCGACAAUGAAUACCACAACUGUUCCACACACAAACACUUCACACACCAACACAUAACAAAAACAAACACAAAAUUCAAAAAAUUAAAACCCUUUCUAACCGCUUUUUGCUUGCAAAGUUCAACGUCAGCCCAACACUCCUCCCUCUUUGGAACAUCACCGGGCCAAGUGGGGCUCGGAAUAAUCGCCGCCACGGAGGACGUCACCACCACGCGACGCACUCCUGCUUCUUUCGCUGCCGUUAGCACGUUCGCGGUGCCCUUUAUCGCCGGGUCCAGAAGAUCCUUCUGCAUGAACACCCAAAUGGGAUUAUGCAAAAACCCAAAAGAUUGAAAAUUUGCGAGAAGAUCGAGAGAGCAAGACCUGGGGGUCCUGGACUUGACCAACAAUGCAGGGAGAGGCAAUGUGGAAUACGCCGGCGCAGCCGCGGAUGGCUUCGAGUACGGAGUCGUAGUGGAGGAGCUCCAUCUGGAAGAGGCGGAGGCGCUCCGACGCUCCAUCCAAGGCUUGUAGAUGCUUUGUCUCGGCCUCGUCGUCUGUUAGAAAAGUUGUGUUGUGAUGUGUUAGUAUUGGGGUGAAACGAAUGAAUAAUAUUGAGAGUGUGGAAUGUACUAACUGAGAUUUUGGACGGUGGCGUGAACGGUGUAGCCGCGGUCCAGAAGGAGGUGGACGAGCCAGGAACCGAUUGCGCCGCUGCCGCCGGUGACACACACCACCUUCUCCAUUUUGCAACUUAAUUCUAACACGAAAACGAUCACGAGAGACUGGAGAAGUCCACUAUGAAUUCAAGAGAAGAAGAAAGAAAGAAAGAAGUGUAAUGAUAUGUUGAAAAUACACAUUUUUAUAGAAUUAGAUUACAACUUUUACUAUUAUUUUAACUAGGAAACCCAGAUCCCUUUAGGUGUAUGUGUAUUCACAUUUUAAUAUUUUAUUCCAUUUUUACGAUAAAAAUUUAAUAUAUAUAUAUAUAUAUAAAUAAUUUUGGAUAGUGAAAUGACAAAAAAAAUAUAUAUGUAAAAAAAUAAUAAAUUAAUUAAAUAAUUAUUUUUAUUAGUAGUUUUGAUAUUGUAAAGUGUAAUGAUAAUGGUUUUAUCAAAAAAUUUGAAAUGCAGCGAAGAAAAUUAUUGAAAAUGAAUAUUAUUUUAUUUGAUAUUUGAGAUUUUGUGUUGAGUAUAUAUAUAUAUAUAUAUUUAUUUAUUUAUUUUUAUUUUUAAAUAAAAAAUUAGAAAAAGUGGGAAAAUUGCAGAUAAAUAUUAAUAAAAUGACAUAUAUUAAUAAAUUAUAAAAUACUAUAUUAUAUUAAUAAAAUGAUAUAAUUAAAUAAGGAUAAAAUAAAUAAAAAUUGUUUAAAAAAAAUAGUUAUAAUUGAAAAUAUCUUUUAAAUAGUUACAAAUAUUUUUUUCAUAUAAUGUAAUUACAAACUUAAUUCUUAUUAUUAUAUAUAUAUAUAUAUAUAUAUAUAUAUAUUUAGUUGUCAAAGUAUAUUUAUAAAAAAAAGAAAAGGGAAGACAGGGACAGGAGAAUUAAUUAUAGGAAAGUUGGGAGCAGAAGUAGGAAUGACCUACUACGAAAACCAACUCAAUAUUUUAAAGGAUCCGGAUAUUUUGACAACGUACACACCAUAUAACUCUGAAAAAGUAUUAAUAUUUUAAUAGUCUGUGAUCUUCUCUGAUAUUGUAAUCUUUUUCUAUUCGGGUUUUUUUUUUUUAGCUUUACUAUGUAUUUGCAAAUUUUUCUUUCUGCACUCAAACAUCUUUUUUUCUUCUGUAUUGUUUUGUAAUUGACUUCGGUUUUAGGAUUUUAUUAUUAAUAAUAAUAUUAAUAUUAAUAAUAAUUAUAAUAAUAUAAUAAAAUUAUUAAUAUUAAUAUUAGUAGAAAUUAAUUAUAGGAACCAAAUGUUUAUUUUACAAAAGCAAUUCCAUCCUACAAUUUAAUAAAUAUUAGUAUUCUAAUUAUUUAUAAAAAUUUAUAAUUUUAUUAAUUUAAAAAAAAUAAGUCUUAUAUAUAUUUUUGUUGAAAAGUUUUUUUUUUAAAAAUAAAUAUUAAUAUUUAUUGUGUCAUAACUCCUAUGCAAAAGUUGGUUCCAGAAGUACGAAAACCAAUUCAAUUAAAAUAGCCAAGUCUUACAAGUUGAGUACGAAAACCAAUUCAAUUUUUUAAAGGAUCCGGAUAUUCUAGAUAUUCUGACAAAUACGCAUAAUUUUUUUUAAUAUUUUAAUAGUGUGUGAUCUUUUCUAAUAUUGGAAUCAUUUUCUAACUUUUUUGUAGUUUUUUGUUUUGGGGUUUCGUAAUAAUUCUAAUAUUAAUAUUAAUUUCGGUUUUAGUAUUUUAUUAUUAUUAAUUUUAAUAAUAAUAAUAAUAAUAAAUAAUAUUAAUAAUAAUUUAAAUAAUAAUAAUAUUAUUAUUAUUAGUAAUAAUAUUAAUAUUAGUAGUAAUUACAAUAAAAUAAUAAUAAUGUUAAUAUGAAUAAUAACUAUAAUAAUAUUUUUUUAACUUAAUGUUAUUUAUUUAUCUUUAUAUUCUCACAAUUUCAAUUUAAUCUAGUCAAAUAUAUUUUUGAAUAAAAUAAAUAUUUAUUGCAAGCAUAAUUUUGAAUUGAACCUUUUUUGACAUUAUUUUUAUAAUUUUAUUCAAACUGAUUAUUUUAUGCUUCAAUGUAUAGUGUGAUUAAGUCUAGUAUGAAAGAUUUUAUUUACUAAAGUACUGAACAAUUUGACUUAAGUAUGGUUGAGGUUAAUUUGUUGGUCAUCCAGAAAAAUAGUUUAGGAAGUGAAGACAUAGUCUAAGUUUUUGCAGAGUGGUUAGGGAUAUGAUGAAUAAGGUGAACUGACAUCAAAAAUAAAAUCUAUUACUUUAAACAUUUUGAACAAUGUAACAUUGGUAACAGGAACCUACUAACUAAUAGAAUUGUCCAACUUGAAUUAUAAAUUAUAAAUAUUCUACACAACUUCAAGUUCGACUGGUCCACUAUGAUAAUUGUAUACGGAUAACAGUCACAUUAGAGAAAUUCCGCUUGGUGCCCUCCACUGGGGUUAGGGAUGAUAAUGCGAAGCGGGUCAAGCUGCAACCUGCUACCAAAAGGCACAGGAUGGGCUCACUAAUCUAGCCCGCGGACCCGUUUAGGCUCGUCCGACAUAACCCGCAGCACGCGCGGGCCAACAGCAUAGCGGGACGAGUUGGCCCGCUAACCCGUAUAAAUACAAAAGUAAUUAUUUUAUUUUUUUGUAAAAAAAAUCAUACUUCAUUCAUCCAUUAUUGCAGUGUGACAUUUAUUUUAUUUUAUUAAUUUUUUUGAAUAUAAUGUACUAAAAAAAAGAAUGUUUUAUUUUAAUCAUUUAAAUGAGUUAGUUUUUUUAUUAGCAAUUAAAAGUAAAUAAAUAAGAACCAAUUUAGGGGUGAUCCAACUCAUGUACAAAAUCGCACAUAAACGAACAAGUCAUCCUCCCAUAAGUUUGUCACUAACUUCCUACUAUAACAAAUACAAUCUGACCAACAUAAAUAAAUCACAUGUUUUAUCGAAGACAUACAAACUAGGAGAUCCAAACACUAAUUAGAAAAACAAGAAACAAGCAUAAGGGACUUGAGGUUGCCCACACGACCAGGCCUUUAGUUGAGUGAUAGAGUUAAUAUGAAGAGUGACACUGAAUUUAGUUUUAAGUAAAGUCUUAUAUUUAAAAUUUGUUAAUAAAAAAAUAAUAUAAAUAAGAGAUUUCAAUAGGAUGGUUAAAAUAUUAGUCAUCUUCAUUAAAAUAUUUUGUAGCAAAACUUUGAUAAAAUAUUCUUAUACAUUUACACACGUAUAUAGGAAAAAUAGAUGCAAAGCAAAACUUUAAUUAUUUUUAAUCAAGCCUUCUAACAAUCCUCAUACUUUAAUUUAUAUUUUUACCUUAAUUGAAUGAUUUGAAACAAGGAUAAAAUUUUAAUUUUUUAGUAGUAGGAAUAAUUUUUUUAAAAAUUAAUGAAAUUUUAAUUUUUGAGAAAAAAAUAUUUUUCUUAUACAAGUUGGCCCACACGCUCGCGGGUUACAUCUGAUGCGGGGCGGGUCAACGGAAUGAGUUUGCACUCCUUUUGUGGGGUGGGCCAACUUGACCCACAUUUUAUGGACCAAACUUGGGACGAGCCAACCUGCAUUGCCACCCCUAACGGGGGUCACUUCACACAUACCUCAUGCACCAUCCUAGCGAACAACCAAAGUAAACUCAAAAUGUUAGAAAUUUGUGAAAUUCAUAAUCCAUAUCAUCAUUUUGUUCUUUUUAAUACUUCUUUUAUUUUUGUAAAUUAUAUGAUUCUUUUGAUGAUUGUAUAUUAUUACGUGUAUGUACUCUAUUAGUUAGGUUACGAGGUCAAACUUUGUGGAUUUCUUAAAAAAAAUUCUAAAGAAUGCUUAUAAACAUUUUAACAAGAAAAGAAACAAGGAUGUAAAUGAUCAAUAAGAAAUAUUAUUAAAUUUUACUAAGAAAAUAAGGAUGUAAGUUAAUCACCGCAUCUAAAAUAUUAUUAGUUUUAUCCUUAAAAAACAUCUGGAUUGGAGGAGAAGAUAAUAUAUAAACUGUUAUUCGAUUCUGAAACCAUGUGGGAUUAUAUUGGUUAGUGGAAUACUUGUAAGAAAUGAUGUAAAUUAAUUUCUAUAAAGUGACUCACAUGACUUAGAGUUUGGGCUUUGGAUCCGAAUAUGAUUUAAUAAUAAUAAUAGAAUUAAAGGCUCAUUGGUUAAUGUGAGAAAUAUAUAUAUAUGAUGAUGAUGAUAUACCUAAUGGAAAACCCACAUCUGAUGGAGAUUGGGAACUAAAGGCUAUAGGGUUGAAGAAGGAGAUAAAGUAAUUGCUCAAUUAGGAUUACUCAUGGAUCAAGGUAAGUGCCUAUUUCUUCUUACGUUGCUCAUUUUUUGUAAUUCUCCAUUAAUGUUUUUUCAAAAUAUUGAAGAACCCUAAUUUUAAAAUAUUCCCAAUUUCAAGAACCCUAAUUUAAAAAAAAAAUAAGAUUUAUAGAUUAAGAUUUUCAUUCCUCUAUAAUAGAUCCCUAAUUGUCCUAAACCAUCAAAAUCAAAGAAACAUAAUUUUAAAAUAAUCCCAAUUGAAAAACCCUAAUUUUAAAAUUAGAGUUUAUGUAUUAAGGUUUACAUCAACUACCGUUUGGUGUCUGGAUAAGGGAUGAAACUACACGUGUGAAUUCGUUCCUGCACCUAUUGAAUUCACAAUAAUAGUUGACUCGUAUGGAAUGGCCCAUUAUUCUUCCCUGCACCUUACGUCCCUUUUGGAUGCACCUAUUAUUGUGAAUAGUAUCAACUAAUUUGGUUGCAUUUGUGUUACGGGAAAAUAAAAUAGUAUCAUGUAUGAUUUUUUUAUUUUAUUUAUUUUAUUUUAUUAUAUUUGUAAUGUAAUUUUUAAGAAAUUUUGUUAUGUUAUAAUGUAAUUUUAUUUGAAUUAAAUUAAUGCUUAAUUAAAGUUUUAAUGAAAUUUUAUUAUGUGUAAUUUUAUUUGCAUUAAAUUAAAGUUUUAAUGAAAUUUUAUUAUGUCAUAAUGUAAUUUAAUUUGUAUUAAAUUAAAGUUUAAUUAAUUGAUUGAAAGUGAGGAAUGGAAAAUUAUAUUUCCGCUUUAUGUAUUUAAUUUUAAAUUGAAAUUUUGGAAUUACUUGUAUGAUGGAUUUGUAAUCACCAAAGUGAUCAAAUCUUUAAGUUUUAUUUAAUUCCAAAUUAAGGAUGAAAUUUUAUUUCAUAUAAUGAUAUUAUUUAUGGAAUUAUUUGUAUGAUAGAUUUGUAAUCACCAAAGUCAUAAAAUCUUUAAGUUUUAUUUAAUUCCAAAUUAUGGAUGAAUUUUAUUUCAAUUAAUGAUAUAAUUUCUGGAAUUAUUUGUAUGAUAGAUUUGUUAAUCACCAAAGUGAUCAAAUCUUUAAGUUUUAUUUAAUUCCAGAUUACUGAUAAAUUUUAUUCCAAUUACCUAUAGAAUGGAUGCUAAAUUAUUUAUAUAUAUGGGUAAAUGGAAAUUCAUUAUUAUAGGGCAUUUUGGAUCACCCAAAGGUUGAUUAGUUGUCCUUAUAAUUAAUAGAUAUGAUUGUUGGUAGUGAGUAUGUGUUAUUAGUUUUGCUUGUAUAUCCAAAGAUAACAAGUGUUUCUAGUUAAUGCAUAUAUCUUACCAAAUAAAGUUAAUACUAUUAGCAUCAUUAUGUUUUGUGUAUUAAUGAAUCUCCCAAAGGAGAACAUUAGUAUAUAUAGAAUGUUUUCUGAAUCUGUAUUGUAUGUUUAGUUUAUGACUCAAAGUAUUAAUGUUAAGCAUGUGUGAUCAAGUAUCUGUUCCUGUAUCUUUAUGCGAAUGAGCAUAACAAGUAAUAUUAAGUCGGCUCUUCCCAAAACUGAUAGUGCAAAAGAAUUUAUGAAAUUUGUGGAAGAGCGCUCCCAAACUACUGAUAAGUCUCUUGUUGGGACAUUAAUGAGUACGUGGAGCAUACUCCAACUUUCAUGUAUGGCUCUGAAUAGUUUGAACACCNNNNNNNNNNNNNNNNNNNNNNNNNNNNNNNNNNNNNNNNNNNNNNNNNNNNNNNNNNNNNNNNNNNNNNNNNNNNNNNNNNNNNNNNNNNNNNNNNNNNACUAAGCUCCAGAAGAAGAAUGGCAAAUGUCAUUUAUGCAAGAAAUCUAGACAUUUCCAAAAGGAUUGUCUGAAAAUUAAGGCUUGGUUCGAAAAGAAGGGUAAGCAUAAUGCUUAUUAUGUAUGUUUUGAAUCAAACUUAACUGAAGUUUGACAUAAUUCUUGGUGGAUUGAUUCUGGAUGCACAACUCAUGUUUCUAACAUGAUGCAAGGAUUCCUUUUAACCCGAACCAUAAAGCCAAAUGAAAAGUUUGUCUUCAUAGGGAAUAGAGAAAAGGUUCCAAUGAAAGCAGUUGGGACUUAUCGUUUAAUCNNNNNNNNNNNNNNNNNNNNNNNNNNNNNNNNNNNNNNNNNNNNNNNNNNNNNNNNNNNNNNNNNNNNNNNNNNNNNNNNNNNNNNNNNNNNNNNNNNNNAUGCUUUUUAUGUACCUAGUAUAUCUAGGAAUUUAGUUUCAUUGUCUAAACUUGAUGUUGCCGGAUACUCUUUUAAAUUUGGGAAUGGAUGUUUCAGUUUAUAUUAGCGUACCUAUUUGAUUGGAUUUGGUACUCUUUAUGAUGGAUUAUAUAGAUUGAACCUUGAUAAUCUAUAUGCUGAAACUCUUAUGACCUCGCAUCAUAAUGUUGGCACUAAACGUAGUUUAGUGAAUGAAUGUUCUGCUUUCUUAUGGCACAAACGUUUGGGACAUAUUUCCAAAGAAAGGAUGGAGAGAUUGGUAAAGAAUGAAAUACUUCCAAGUUUUGAUUUUACUGAUUUGAAUGUAUGUGUGGAUUGUAUUAAAGGAAAACAAACAAAACACACAAAGAAGGGAGCCACAAGAAGUACUCAGCUUCUUGAAAUUAUACACACUGAUAUAUGUGGACCUUUUGAUGCAAGUUCUUUAAAUAAAGAAAGGUAUUUUAUCACCUUUAUUGAUGAUUUUUUACAUUAUGGUUAUGUCUAUUUACUGCAUGAAAAAUCGCAAGCGAUGAAUGCCUUGGAAGUUUAUAUAAAUGAGGUGAAAAGGCAAUUAGACAAAAAGGUGAAAAUUGUCAGGUCAGAUAGAGGUGGUGAAUAUUAUGGAAAGUAUGAUGAAAGUGGACAACACCCUGGUCCGUUUGCUAAGUUCCUUGAGAGACGUGGUAUUUGUGCUCAAUACACAAUGUCAGGUACACCACAACAAANNNNNNNNNNNNNNNNNNNNNNNNNNNNNNNNNNNNNNNNNNNNNNNNNNNNNNNNNNNNNNNNNNNNNNNNNNNNNNNNNNNNNNNNNNNNNNNNNNNNNNNNNNNNNNNNNNNNNNNNNNNNNNNNNNNNNNNNNNNNNNNNNNNNNNNNNNNNNNNNNNNNNNNNNNNNNNNNNNNNNNNNNNNNNNNNNNNNNNNNNNNNNNNNNNNNNNNNNNNNNNNNNNNNNNNNNNNNNNNNNNNNNNNNNNNNNNNNNNNNNNNNNNNNNNNNNNNNNNNNNNNNNNNNNNNNNNNNNNNNNNNNNNNNNNNNNNNNNNNNNNNNNNNNNNNNNNNNNNNNNNNNNNNNNNNNNNNNNNNNNNNNNNNNNNNNNNNNNNNNNNNNNNNNNNNNNNNNNNNNNNNNNNNNNNNNNNNNNNNNNNNNNNNNNNNNNNNNNNNNNNNNNNNNNNNNNNNNNNNNNNNNNNNNNNNNNNNNNNNNNNNNNNNNNNNNNNNNNNNNNNNNNNNNNNNNNNNNNNNNNNNNNNNNNNNNNNNNNNNNNNNNNNNNNNNNNNNNNNNNNNNNNNNNNNNNNNNNNNNNNNNNNNNNNNNNNNNNNNNNNNNNNNNNNNNNNNNNNNNNNNNNNNNNNNNNNNNNNNNNNNNNNNNNNNNNNNNNNNNNNNNNNNNNNNNNNNNNNNNNNNNNNNNNNNNNNNNNNNNNNNNNNNNNNNNNNNNNNNNNNNNNNNNNNNNNNNNNNNNNNNNNNNNNNNNNNNNNNNNNNNNNNNNNNNNNNNNNNNNAAGAGAGUCGGGUGUAAAUGGGUCUUUAAGACUAAAUGUGACUCUCAUGGAAACUAAUGAUCUUGGUCUAUUAAGUGAGACUAAGAAGUUUCUCUCUAAUAACUUUGAGAUUAUGGGUGAGGCAUAAUAUGUGAUAGGAAUAGAAAUAUUUUGUGAUAGAUCACAAGGACUGUUAGGUUUGUCUCAGAAAGCAUAUAUUAAUAAAGUUUUAGAGAGAUUCAGAAUGGAUAUUCAAAAUCUCCUGUUCCAAUACAGAAAGGAGACAAAUUUAGUCUCAUGCAAUGUCCAAAGAAUGAUUUGGAACGGAAACAAAUGGAGAAAAUACCUUAUGCAUCUAUUGUUGGGAGUUUAAUGUAUGCUCAAACUUGUACACGACCAGAUAUUAGUUUUGCAGCUGGUAUGCUUGGUAGAUACCAGAGUAAUCCAGGAUUGGAUCAUUGGAAAGCUGCAAAGAAAGUUUUAAGAUACUUGCAAGGAACAAAGAAUCACAUGCUUACUUAUAAAAGAUCAAAUUAUCUUGACGUGAUUGGAUAUACAGAUUCAGAUUUUGCUGGCUGUGUGGAUACACGAAAGUUUACAUUUGGUUAUGUGUAUCUUUUAACCAGAGGAGCGAUUUCAUGGAAAAGUGCGAAGCAGUCAGUCAUUGUUGCGUCCACUAUGGAAGCUGAAUUUGUGGCAUACUUUGUUGCGUUCAGGACUUGGAAUUGUUGACAGUAUUGUCAAGCCGCUGAAAAUUUAUUGUGAUAAUUCCGCAGCAGUCUUCUUUUCUAAAAACGACAAGUAUUCUAAAGGUGCUAAACAUAUGGAAUUGAAAUACUUUUCCGUUAAAGAAGAAGUUCAGAAACAUAAAAUGUCAAUAGAACAUAUUAGCACUGAUCUUAUGAUUGCUGACCCUUUAACAAAAGGGUUACCGCCCACUGGUCAUGUUGUAAAUAUGAGCAUUAUGUUACUAGUGAAUUAUGAAUGUUGUUAUUAAUGCUUAUUUGACACUUUGAGCUCAUUGAUAAAUAAAGUUUCUGAAAUUUAUGUUGUUUUCUACUUUAUGUAUAUGCAUGCAAAUUAUGUUAUGAUGGUGUGGAAAACAAAUUAUGUUGUUAUUGAUGACAAUGACAUUAUGUUUGAACCUAUUAUGAAUUUCUCACUAUAAAGUACAUGGAAGGAGAUGUGUUGAUUGAAAUGACAUGUAACCGCAUGACUCUUAUUAUUUUUGUAUCCUUGAUCUUGAUUAAUGUUAGAACCAAUUUAUGUAAGGCCUUUUAAAUGCGCAUUUAUGUCAUUAUUAAAUCAUGAAAGUAUUAUAACUCAUAUGAAGUGGGAGAAUGUAAGAAAUUAUGUAAAUUAAUUUCUAUAAAGUGACUCACAUCACUUAGAGUUUGGGCUUUGGGCCCGAAUAUGAUUUAAUAAUAAUAAUAGAAUUAAAGGCCCAUUGGUUAAUGUGAGAAAUAUAUAUAUGAUGAUAUACCUAAUGGAAAACCCACAUCUGAUGGAGAUUGGGAACUAAAGGCUAUAGGGUUCUGUCUCUGCAAAUAAUAGUUGUCUCACUGUUAACCAUCACGAAAGUGUGUGACAAUACGGAAUUGCUAAGAGAUAGAUUGGGAAGAAGGAGAUAAAGUAAUUGCUCAAUUAGGAUCACUCAUGGAUCAAGGAAAGUGUCUAUUCCUUAUUGAUUGUAUGAUUGUGUGAGAAUCAUAAUAUGAUAAGAUCUGAUAACAUUAUUGUAUGUGUUCAAUUUACAUUUAUUCAUGUUUAAUCUUACAUAUAUAAGUUACACAUCUUUCACAGCUACAUUCAUUCUUCAAUUUUAUUUCCUCAAAGCAUUACCUAUGUUAUAAAACGUGUUGAUGUGUUUAUAUUAGUAAGUAUUUUAUAGCAAUGUUAAAAUUAAUAUAUCAUUAAUAAUAUAUAAUACGUAAAAUAUCAUGGUGUCUAUUAAAAUUUAUCUUUUUCAAUCGUCCGUUGAUUUGUGAAACUUUAUAUAUCUAUUUUUUUUUCUUCCUGAUAAAAGAAAAUACACUUAAUCAUCUAUGAUUGGAUUAAUAUACAACAUCUUUUCUUCUGUCAUAGCAUCUUUAUUCAAAUAAUCAAACACAUUUACACCAAGAUUCAUUCAAGCUUCACUCAAGUUUGAAACUAACCCCAACCUAACUGCUUUGACUAGACUAACAUAUCCAAUAAAAACAUAAAAAAGAAACAAGACAAACUAGAAAGAAGCAUGGGAAAAGAGAUUGAAACUGGAUUAAUGAAAAUAUGUAUCUAAGUUUAUGGAUAUAAUGUUUUUUGCUUAGAUGAUAGUUAGAACUAUCAUGCAGCUACACCUCCAUUUAGAAGCAUCUGAUCAAAGUGCCACACACCUACAAGUCCAACAACAUUACUUCAAUUUCACCAAAUAUAUGUGAAUAGUGAAUCAACCAAUUUGAUUUAUUAGGUACAAGCAACAAACCAUGUCCUUUGCCCACCCUUCUUAACUGAGCCACAUAUUCUGAGAUCUUCUUAAUAUCUUCCACCUUUAAGCAAAAGAAUAAACUAAUGAGAACAUUUCUUUUCAUGCUACUCAAAACAGAUGCAAAAUUUUGUAAACUAGAAUUGGAAUUUCAGCUAGCUAAUGUAUGCAAUAAAUAAUUUUAUACUCAGGUUCAAACAGUAUACAAAUGGAGUAACAUUUGACUGCAUUUAGGCCAAGAGAUUCUUUACCUGAUCGAAUAAAAACUGGCUUUCCAGAAAGUCAACAAAUUGAGCAUCGUUGUUUUCAUUUGCUAACUGCAUAAUAGUAAUAAAAACUAGUUAUUGGCAUAAAAACAUUGUCAUGCAGAAUAACUAUAGCAAAAGGAAAAAACAUAUGGAAAAUUCCACUGGAAGAUAGCGAGACUAAAAAGUGUUUGAGUUGAAUUGACAGAAAAAAAUAAGAAAAUAUAGCUAUAAGUUGUACGCUGUGUAAAUUUAGAAGCUUCUCAUUGUUCAGCCUUUCCAAAGACAAUGCAAGUUCCAUUGCUGCAAAAUGGGAGGAAACAGGAAUCGUAAGUAUAAUUGAAGAAACUGAGAAAGCAUUCAAGAAAACAGUUUUGAGUGAAAUAUUAAUUACACAUAUAUAUGUGUGGGUGUGGGUGUGUGAGAGAGAAAAAGUUACCAUAUAAUGCAUCACCCUUUUCUGCAUGAUCAAACUCUGAAAAUGGCAUCAGCAUUGACUGCAGCUGAACCUUGCCUCCUCUUUUAUUCUGGUAAUUAAUAUCGUCAGGAAUAAAAAUAAUUUACAAAAAGGAAUGCCAGAAAAACUACUGUCAUGAAGUGUAUGAAUCACUGAUAUAGAAAAAUGCCUGAUAUUCCAUCAUCAUCUCAGCAUGAUGUCUUUCCUCCAUACUUGCGUCCUUGAAAAAUCUGGAAAAUUUUGUGUAAUAAUUACCAACAAUUAUGUCAUAAUAAAAUUCAAAUUACAAAAGAACUUGAUAUUUUCAAGGGUAAUACUUGGCUAAUCCUUUCAGAGCAACAUUAUCUCUGUCGAAAUAGGCGUACAUGGCAUGAUACACGUAGGAGACAUUGUAUUCCACGCUGAAUCAAAACAAAAUCAAAAUUAGCAUAAGAUAUUUGCAUGAAUGUGCCAACGAGAGCAAAACAAUUCUUAAAAAAAAAUUAAACUUCGUAAUUUCUCAAGCACCCCUUUAAAUUUAUGGAAAAAACUUAGAUACAUACUGUUAGUAUAUUAGAUACACAGAUAAGCUCCAAUUCCAAUUAAAAAACCAGUUAGCUAUAUUCGAGUUUUGACCCUAAAAACUGUGAUAAAUUAUAAACCAGUUUAGAUAAGAUUUGCCUCUACUAUGAAAUGCUCUAAUCUUUAAUUAAUCUGAGAUUUUCACAUAAAACAAAACAAAAAUAAGCUCACUUGAUCUGUGUAUUGAGUGCAGCCUCAGACUGAUGAGUGUACUUCUGGCGAGCCAGUGAUGCAUGGAGCUCUGUGGGGAUGACAAGAAGCUCUUUUUUCACUUCCUCAAAAGGUUCAAACGCUAUAUUCGAAAUGGGUUGGUUCAUAGUGUCCUUGGAGGCCUUAGCCACAACCCCACAACCCCCAUUUCUCUUGCAGAAUCUCACACCAUUCACAGGGUUGAAAAAGGGUCCAGAGGAAGACAGAGAAGGGACAAGCUUCACUCUUUCAGAGAGCGAGACACGGACGAAUGAAGAAGUUCCCGAGAGCAUGGUCAAAAGACUCAGAACCACUCUGAAAUCAAGAGAAGAAGAAUGAGUUCAGGAAAUUGUACGUGAAGUGUGAUGAUACUAAUAGUAAUAGUAAUUCUUAGAGAACUGGUUCAUCGAUUUUUUCGAACCAUAACCAUAAUUCUGUAACAAUAAGAUUCUCUAGUUAUAAAUCCACCUUUUCCUCUCGUUUUUUCCGAAUAUAUAUGCUAUGUAAUGAAUUAUUUACAUAAAAUAAGGACAUGGUCACACUUUUGUUGUGCAGAGAGUAACUGUUGUAUCAAUUUUUUAUACAGAACAUUAAAUUUAAAAAAGAAAAGAAGUUAUUAUUUUAUUUAUUCCUUUGGUCCUCUCUCUCUAUAUAAUUUUAUACUUUUCUUUAGAAGUAUGCAAGGUAACAAAAUGUAGUUAAAUGUGUCGAUAAAUGCGGAAACAACAUUAUACAAUUUGUAGUGAAUAAAUAAAAGUGAAGCAUGUAGUUAAAACUAACAUGUUCUUUGGGACCAAGUCAUGUAAGUAAUGUGUAGGUCCAAUAGUUUUUUUUUAAUCUUCAUUCUCUUUGGGACCUAGUCAUGUAAGUAGUGUGUAGGUCGAAUAGUUUUGUUUUUAAUCUUCAUUCUCUUCUGGGCCAAGUCAUGUAAGUAAUGUGGUGUAUCAAUUCAUUUCUAAUUUUUUUUUUUUCAUUUGCUUCCUUCUUUUUAAUCAGAAAAUUCUUUAAGCACCCAAAAAAACAUUAAAACCUGCCAAUACACAACCAACCUUCUUCAAAUAGGGACAUUACCAAUCAGAAAAAAAAAAAAAAAUCAGCACUAACAACAACUACAAAGUUAGAAAAAAAUUUAGUCACCGAAUUAAUACGAAAACUUCCUAUGCAAACAGUCAGUAAGAUCUUUAAGCCUAUAUCUACUUAGCAUUUCUGAAAUAGUCUUGAGAUUACUAAAAGAACCAUCUCCUCUAAAUUUCAUUCCCAUUUGUUUUAGUUCCAUGUUCUCAUAUAUUUCGAACAUAAUUUUUUUUUUUUAUUCAAACUCCUUUAGAAGAUCUUUACAUUUUCAUACAACAGAGUGGUAGAAAUAGCAAUGUUGGAUACUGAUAGAGAAGAAGUAAAAUAUUAGGAUUAGUUCAGAUAAAUCAUGUCUUGUAGAUGUUUUUGUUUGUAAUUUUUUUCUAAUGGAUCAACUCAAGUGUUGUUUAUAGUGUACAAGGUUGGAUAAGAAUAUUGGUUUAAAACUAAGUAUUUUGCUGAUGUGUUUGGUAUUAAUGAUGGAAGGUCUUACUGUUUUUACUCCUGCCGUUUUUCUUUUUAGUAUUAUGAUUCUCUGAUUUUGUUGUGAGACUUUAUACAAUAGUUUUUAUAUGAAGGUUAAGGUAUUCCUGAAAUAUUAUUUUUGUGUGCUGAUAAAAAUCUCCUAUUAACACCACAUUAAUUCUCUCAUUCGAAACAUAUUCUAAACCCAUUUUACUAAAAAUUCUUUAUCGAAAAUUCUAACAUCUUUCACCCAAAACUUCCAUGCUUUGGUGCUUGACUUGGGCUAUAUUGUAUAUUUUACAUCUUUCUAUGAUACCAUAUUACUUUUCAUUCAUUAAAAUAUUCAAUCAAUUUUUUUCAUCUUUGAAGAAAAAAACUGAAAAUGUAUUCGUUAAAAAUUAUUUGUAAGUAAAAAAGAAGGGAUUUCAAAUAAGAAAAAACAAGCAAUGAAAUAUAAUUAAGAGAAAUUAAAAUGAUUGUUGUUUGAAAACAAUAUUAUAAAAAAUGCAUUCUUUUAUUCUGAAAACAAUAUUAUCAUUAUUAUUAUAUGGAAAGAAAAAUAAUUUUUUACAUCUUGUUUUUCCAAAAUAAAUUAACGUAUAUUAUUAUUUUAUCUCUUUUUUUUUAUCAUCUUUAUAUUUUUCUCUCUUUUAUAUAUCUUUCACUGGAUAAUGUUUUGCAUGUCAAAAAAUAAAUUUCGAUAUUAUAGCCCCCUUCCACACACACAAAAAAUUGCCCUCCAAAAUUAUCAUUUGAAUUAUAUGUGUUUAGAAGAAAAACUCACGUUAGAAGUUUUUUAAUGCCCCACCCCCCAAAAGAAAUUUUCCUUUUUUAACCUUAAACAUGUUAACUUCUGGGUAGGGUUUUUUUAAGCAAAAAUCUGGGUAGGUUUUAAAACCUUCCAUUAUAUAAGUCUAACGCAAUUAGUACAUGGGUGAGAAUUAAUUUAGUUCUUCUUCAACACUUGAAUUAACCUAGUUGUAAAAGUUCAAUUAUUAAUAUUUAUUGUUUUAAAAAAAAAAAAAAUCCGCAUGAACACUACACGUUGUUUUCUGUGUGGUUCUACAACUUUGUUUGGGUCAACUACAGACUACAUCACUUGAGCCCAAAUUCAUUUUUAUCCAACCCAAAAAAACUCAUAUUUCUAUGCCAAUAAAUUUAGCAGAUCACAUCACUUUACUUUCAGGGUGAGGUAAGAAGGUAAGAAUGAAAAAUUCUUUUCAUUUUUAUCCACCAACCCAAAAAAACUCAUUCAUUUAUAUGCCAAUUGAUUAGUUAAAGUUUUUUUAUUAAUCAUAGCGUUGGUGUAUAUUCAAUAACAUAAAUGUAUUUGUUAAGAUGAUAGAUAAUAAAAAAGUUGGUCUCUCAUGGUGGUCGGAAAUUAAGCAAAUUCGGGGUAUCUCAUCCUCAAAUCAACACACUUGUGUUUAUUUCGGGAUUAUUGUCACGCACAAUAACAAUUAUGAAGUGGUUGAUAGGGGAUUGUAGGGUGGACAUGGAUUGGAUUUUCCAAAAUCCAAUCUAAAUCCAAAUCCAAAUAAGUGGGUUGGAUUUAAAAUCCACAGAGACUAACUUAGCUCGAACUAGGCCUAAGCCGACUCAAUCUGGACGCAGAACAACUCGGUUCUACAUCGGCCCCAACCCAAACGAUUCGACAUCGGCCUCGGCCCAAACGACUAUACAUCGGCUCGGGUCCGAACGACUCGACAUCGGUCUUGGCCUGAACGACUCGACAUUGGCUCGGGCCCGUCGACAUCGUCCCGGGCUCGCUCGCCUCGACAUCGGUUGGGGCCCGAUCGUCUCAACAUCGACCGGGCCCGCUCGCUUCGACAUCGAUUUGGGUUCGAUCGGCUCGAGAUCGGCCUGGGCCAAAACGACUGGACAUCAGCCUGGGCCGAACGAUUCGACAUCGUCCCGGGCCCGCCAGACUAGACAUCGGCCCAGGCUCGCUCGGCUCGACAUCGGCCUGGGCGCGCUAGACUCGAUAUCAGUUGGGCCCGCUCGACUCGACAUCGGCCCGCUCAGCUCGACAUUGGCCCGGGCCCGCUCGACUCGACAUUGGCUCGGGCCCGUUCGACUCGACAACAGCUUGAGCCCGCUCGGCUCGACAUCGGCCUGAGCCCGCUCGGCUCGAAAUCGGCCCAGGCCCGCUCGACUCGACAAUGACCCAGGCCCAGUCGCAUUGACAUCUGCACGGGCCCGCUCGACUCGACAUCUACCUGAGCCUAGUUUGCUCGACAUCGGCCCGGGCCCGGUUGGCUCGACAUCUGCCCGGGCCCGCUCACCUCAAAAUCGGUCCGGUCCCUCUCGCCUCGAAAUCGGACCGGGCCCGCUCGCCUCGAAAUCGGAUCGGGCCCGCUUGCCUCGACAUAUGUCCGGGCCCAACCGUCUCGACAUCGACCAGACCCGCCGCUUUGACAUCGAUUUGGAUUCGCUCGGCUCAACACCAGCCCGAGCCUGAACGAUUCAAAAUCGGCCCGAGCCUACACGACUAGACAUCGGCUCGGGCCCACACGACUCGACAUCGGCCUCAGCCCGCACGACUCAACAUUGGCCUAAGCUCGAAUGACUAGAUAUCGACCCUGGCCCCCUCGGCUCGACAUGAGCUUGGACCCGCUUGGCUCGUCAUCAGUCCGGGCCCACUCGGCUUGACAUCGGCCCGGGCUCAUUCGGCUUGACGUGGACUUGGGUCAACUUUGCUCAACCUGCGCCUGAAUUGUCUUGGCUCAACCUGGAUCGGGCCAAGUCAAAAUCCAACCCAAAAUACAAUUUGGAUAAUCCAAAAAUGUAUCCAAUUCAUAUCUAAUCCAUAUCCAAUUAAAUGGAUUGGAUUUAAAAUCCAAAAAUAUGGAUUUGGAUUUGAAAUAAAUCCAUUUAAAUGGAUCAAAACUAAUAUGGAUUUGGAUUAUUAUGGAUUGGAUUUUGUAAUUUGGAUUUUUUGCCCACCCUUAGGGGAUUGUUUUCAGUCUUUGUGGAGAGGUGACACAAGCAUACCAACGCCUUCUACAUUCUGAAUGGUAAAAUGACGAUAUUGUCGAAUGAUGUGUCGGCGUUCUAUAUCUUUACAAUUUCCUACGUACAUCCUCAUGAAAUUCUUUGUAAAUUCAACUAUUUUGGUGAAGUUAUUAAGGAUUGACCAGGGUGAUACAUCCUCAAAGAUGAGACAAUGUCAGGGUGCAUGAUAGGAAUGCAGAGGCCCACUCGUCCAAACCCAUUAGGAUGACCCGAAAACCCACUUACCUAAGUGACUAUGUGUGAAGGAGAAUUAUGAUGAGUCAUAUACAAUUCUGUUUUUCUGCUGAGUCAUAGGGGUAGAUACGCAAUCAAAUUCUGUUUUGUUGUUUCCUUGUAUUGCGGGUUGCCAUUGAUUGGCGUUAGAUAAUUUGUUUAAAUACUACUAUGAUGAAAGGAAUGAGAAUAAGAAAAAUAAUUAUUUCUUAUCUUCUCUCUUAUUUGUUUUCUGGAGGUUUCUUCCCUUGACCUCGAAUCCAAGGGAGUGACCCUAGCUCUAUUAUUGCACACAUUAGACUAAGUCAGCUCUAAGAAGUCUAUAAGGGGUGUUGCAUCUGGAAAACUUCAGAGUGUGUUGCGAAUAUAUUUAUUGUAUCUUAUAGAAUACACUAUAUUUGGUGAUAAGAGAGUCACUUUCAUCCCUCUUUCAUACUUGCAGUUGUUUAGAAAUCGACCUUAGACUAAUUAGCUUAGAACAUGAGUUUGAAACUAUAAAUGAGUUGAAGACUAUGGGCCAAGAAAAUAAUGGAGUCCAUGUAUGUAGAUGAUGGAGAUCACUUUCAAAUUGUGAGUGGCAAUUCACGUGAUUUCUUAGGUCUCUUUCAAAGUUGAAAUGAAAGUUCUUAAACGAGGCAUGGAAUAAAUUGGUGAUUGAGAGUCACAGAUCCCCUCGUAGAUGAAUAGGUGCAGUUGGCAGACACAUAUUUAGGAGUAGCUUUGAAAUGAAUUAAUUAGGAAAGUUCACCUGAGGGAGACACACUAACAAGAAAACUGUGAUUCUAAUUUAUUGUGUAUGAGUUGGUGUCUAUGAAGAAUGUGUCCCUUCAUCAACGUACUACCCAAAAUUACACUAUACAUCACCAAUGAGGGACCCUCCAAUAGUACACUUCACAGUUUUGAACUCAUUCACUGUCACAGUCUCGCAAUGAAAGAGGAACAUCAUCAAUUAAUUAAUUAAUCAAUAUCAAAUUCCAUACAUACCCAUUAUCUGUCAUAGGAUUCCUGUGCCCUAAAUUUUCCACACCUUCUCACUUCCUUUUAACCUUUCCAGCUAUUCAAUCUCAACAAAACAAUGACAUCACAGUUUACAACUUCGUCUUCACCAUCCAAUUUCACCCUAGUGGAUUUCCUUUCUUUUCUUCAAGACUACUUACUUAUAUCUUUGUUUUUUUAUUUUAUUUUAAAGUGAGAGUUGAUUUUAAAAAUUAUAAAUAUAAAAGAAGUUGUAAGGUGAGAGGUAUAGAAGUCGUGUCAAAAUAACAAGUGAUAAAAGUAAAGUCUUAUUAAGUUUAAAUUGAUUAUAUUUGUAUUUAUACAGAAAAAAAAUCUAAAUAAUAUUUGAAAUUGGUUCUAUGUCGGUUAUUUUCUCGUUCUUUAUUUUAAGUUUUUUUUUAAUUGUUUGUACUUGAUCGAAGUUUACCAAAAAAAAGUAUUCUAAUGAUUAAGUAGAUACUCUGUAUUAAGAUUGCAUAGUAAAAGUUAAUUAAAGUAUAUUUUAUUUUUUGUUAAAGGGUUUAUUUAUAGUGUUUAAUCAUGAGUCUUUGUUUUAAUCCACUAAAUCUAUCGAAUAUCAAUUAAAGUGAUUUUUUUUUUUUGCAUUAUCCAUGACAAGGAUGCAUAUUGGUAUGGUAUAUUUCUUUGCUACUUGAAUCACUUGUAGAAUUUACAUGUUUCUCUACUCUUUCCACACUAUGACUGCAGAUCCAAUAUAAUAUAUGAACAGAUCCAAUGCAGUGACUGCAGACCUGUCACAUAAAACAAACCAUACUUGGUAUUCAGUACAUUUUUUUCUGAUAAAAAAAAAACAUUAUGGUCUCAAACAACAUACUUGUAAACCAUUUCUUCUGAAAUUCUUUUUCAGGUUAUAUAAUGAAUAAAAAACUCUAAUUUCUAACAAAUUUUCAUAUGGACUUGCUAAACUUUUUUAUUUCUCGCAAAGAUAUAUAUGGAAAAUUACAAAUCAACGAGAUGACAAAUAAGUAGAUCAAACAAAUGUGAGAACAGCGGAGACAAAGCUCUAGAAUGAGAGGCUAAAAAUAAAUAUUUUUAUUUUUCCAUUCAAUAAAAUAUAUAAUCACAAAUAAUAGUAUAUUACUAUUAAUACAUUUUAAGUUUUCGAGGAGUCAUAGCCUUGGAUAUCCCUUUACUCUCAGAUUUUUUUUUUAUAAUAGUGUAAUAUGCUUUUGAGUUUUUGAAAAUCGACAAAUUAAAAUUUUAUUGUUGAAUUGGACAAAUUGUAUAUUGGAAGUGAGUUAAUUUUGAAAAAAAUCAUAUUAUAUGAUGGUGAGUUUCAACAUUUUCAAAGAAUCAUAUUCUUCACAUAACAUUUGUAAACUUUUUGCAAUCAAAUUUUUAAAGCAUAUUGUAUUUAGAAAAUAUGAUUUUAAUUAAUAUAAAAAAAUUAAAUUUGCUAUAUCCUGCACUUCAUAUCUAAUUACAUGCAACCAGAUUUCCCUUCAAAUAUACUCAUUUCAAAGGUAUUUAAUAGUUUUCCAAGUGCUAGCCAAAAGUGUGAUAUAUUUCAAAAAAAAAAGAAAAAAAAAAGGUAUCAUAUGUUAUUGAUUCAAGUACAAAUAUGUGGAUUAAAGAUAUUGAAAUUAAUUUAAUAAAAAAAUAAAGAGAUUUAAAAGGAUAAUUUACCUUCUAUGAGAUACAAAUUUUUUAAAUUUUGACCUAAAAUUAUAAAUUAUAUUUUAUUUAAUUUUAAAAUUUUAAAACUUAAAAUAAAAAAGUGAGUCACUCUUUUGAAUACCAAAUUUAAGUAUUGAGCAACCAAAUGAAAGUAAACAAAAAAUUAAUGGAUUAUUCUUUUAGUGCCCUUUUAUAUUGACGAAUAAUUAAUAUUUAGUCUUAUCUUAGUGUCAUGUCACAUAGUGAGCUUUACUUUUAAAACUUUCAAAUUAUUCUUAUCCUAGGGAGUAGACCUAACUCCUAACAGUCCUUUUUGCAAUAUUUUAUUUAUGUAUUUUACAUUUGAUUAUAAUAUAAAUAUAGUUUAAUUUUGUCAAAAUAUUUUAUUUUACCGUAAUAUAACUCUUAUAAAAUAUUUAUUUAAUUUUUAAUUUUCAUAUUAUUUAAUAAUAUUUAAUAUAGUAAUGUGUGAAAAUUCUAGAAGACGUGUUCGAAUACCGAAUGAAGGUUUUCAGAAAAAUUUUUGGCAUUCAAAUAUAUUAAUAUAAGAAAAUAUUAUGAAUUUUAAUGUGAAAGAAAAAUGGUCCUUUAAGUUAUGAAACUAUACUCCUUUGGAUCGAAAUCUUCUUUUAUAUAAUUUUUAGCCUUUGGAAUAAAGGAUGUCAGCAGAAAAUAACAUUUUAUUGAUUUAUUGAUUAAAUUAUCAAUUUAAAAUAUUUAUAAUUAAAUUAACAAUUAUGAUAUAUUAGAAAAGAGACGUGUCCAGUUUUAUCUAAAAAUAGAUUACUUAUAGUUUAUUGUAGUAUAAACGAUGUUUCAUUUAAUAUUAAAACCUUAAAAUAGAUUUAUAUUAAUGUCCAUAUUUUUUUAACCAGUAUUGAUUUUAUUUCAUGUAUUAUUUAUUAUAGUCAACCUUAGUAUAUCUUCUUCUUGGUUUCAUUAAUUAAAAUAGGUUUUAAUAUAAAGAAUUUUUAGCACAUGAGUUUAAAAAGUUGUUAAGAUAUUUUGAACAUACAUUGAGAAUAAUAGUAAUACCUUGUUCAACUAUAAUUAAGAUAUUUUAUUAACUAAUAUGAUUUUUAUUAACUUUUUAAAAUAGUUGUAAAUUAAUUAUCUAAUGAUAAAAAAAAAUCCAUUAAUUAAUUCUUAAAAAUAUCAAGUUAUCCACAGAAUAAUUUUGUUGAAAUCUUAAUAGGAAAUAUUAGUUAAUCAAUACCCAUAUGUAUUAACAUAUGAAAUCUAAUUUUGGUUUGCAUCACUUGAAAGUUCAUUUUUCCUUCUUAAAAAAAUAAUUAUUCAAAAAUAUAACAAUGACAGACUGUCGAAAUUAUGUAAGUACACUGGAGAAAAUUAAUGAUUAAAAAUAAUUCUGUUGAAGAAGAGAGGGGGAUUUUUUUUCAACCACACGUAAUUGCAAAAUCUAUUACUUUAAGGUAAAAAAAAUCUGUUUUUUAAUCUGCAAUUUUAUCAUCAUUAAUUAAACUCGUAUUUAGUGGCCCCUCAUGUUUUGAAAAUUUACUUAAUAGAAAAAUAUGCGUGUACUUGUCAUCGUUGUGAUUACUAUUAAUUAUUGCUAGCUAAUAAUAUUCUAUAUUUCUAUCAUAUGUUUUUUAAGGUAAAUUAACUUGUUACAAAAAUUAGUCAAGCGAUUGUCAUAAAUUUUAAAAAAAGUUAAUAUUAUGACUGUUUAAACUUUUUUUUCCUUUCCAUUUUACAAUUCCGUGACAAGUUUUCUUUUGGGGUCAAACUUUUUUUGCCUAAAUAAUAUUAAAAAUAUUAAUAGUAAUUUCUUGCAAUGAAUUAGAUAUUUAAGAUCUGUACAUGGUGACAAAUGUAUAAGCUCCUUCAUUAUAGACAACAUUUCAGAGAAGUAAUUGUAAUGAAAUAAAUUACAUUUUUCUUUUCCUGUUACCUUAUAUUCUGAGUGUCUGCAGUUUGGUUUAUCAUAUUAAGAAAAGUGCACCUUUUUUUUAAGUUUUCUCUGACUAAGAAGAAGGAAUUAACAUUUUUUAACAAAUAUUCUCUUAUACAUUGAAUUAAGAGUGAAACAGAUAUAAUUUAUCAAUCACUAAUUGAGUUCUAUUUUUUUAAUAAAAAAAUAUAUAUAAAUAAAAGAACAUAUAGGUAUACAAAAUUCUAUAAAAAAAAAUCCUUAUAAAAGAAAAGAAAAAAGACCAUUUUUUAUAGUUUUCGUAAAGUUUCGAGAUGAGCAACUAACAAUAAUCUGAAUAGAUCCUUGCAACUAUCACAUAAAACAUAAAAUUUCAAUAAAGAAAUCUUUCACCUUUAUGUAUUAAAACUAGCAUAUCCUCAAUGUGUCUAAAUAAGUAAAAUUGUUAACCUAAUGAAAAAAUAUUUUAGGGUUUAAAUAAAUUAUUGGUUUUUAAAUUAGUUUUUAUUAUUGUUAAAUAAUUUCUAAAUUGGUAUCUAAUUGGUACCAAAUUUAGAAAUUAAAUAAUUGGUAGUUAAAGCCUCAGUAACUAAUUAGAUAUUAAUUUAAAAACUAUUUAACAAUAAUAGAAACUAAUUUAGAACCAUUUUUUUUUUUAAUUUCUAAAAUAGUCUCUAAUUUAGUUACUAUUACAACUAAUUAUUUUAUUUUCUAAAAAUUGAUUUCUAUUUAAUGAUUUUAUUGUAGUGUACAUUAUAUAGUCCAUGUCCAAAUUGAGAACACAUUAUUUUUGUGUAACUAAUUAAAGUUGUAGGAUGAAAUCAUGAUUUUAUAAAAAACCACUCACCAAGAUAAAUUUCAUUAAGAAUGAUUUUCCUUGAUUACAUUUACUCUAAAUGAGAAAAAAAAACAAUUUCAACAUUAGGGCAAACUGAAACAGAUACAUUAUACUAUGACCUUUAAACUUGUGGUUUAAACUCAAGUGAACACUUUAUAAUUUGAGAGGAAGGAAGAGCUAUAUGAUAAACACAAUUACAGUGAUGUUGGACGAGGUAAUGAAGCAUACCAAACAACAUAGUAGUGUGAAGAGGUUGGAGUUUGUACGUAUUGAGUACCUUAAUGAGAGGAGAGAGUGAGAAUGAGAGAGAGACAAGGAGUGUCAGGAAACGAAUCUACGUGCAAGAUACCCCUGUCGGUGACUGAACCAGCAAAUUGUCAAAGUAGUUUUGGUCCCAUUUCACUCACACGCAUCAUGUCCAUCUUCAUAAACCAUUUACCUAUUUACUUCUCCAUCUUUUGAAAUAUGUAUAUGUUGUCUUCUCUUCCUUUGGACCAAACACAUACACUUCCCCACUUCAUCACUCUUCCACCAACACCAACACCAACACCAACUUUCAUUUAACCCCAAAUGCAUACCUAGGCCCUGCUGUACUUUUUCUCUGCAACUCAAAAAUCUCCACCUCCUCUGUUGCUUUUUGUUUCCUUAUAUCUCAUUUUACCACUUUUUCUUUCAUUCUGCACUUUCCAAUCUCCACAUGCACACCAUGGUGUGUGUCACCCUAUACGUUAGUUUCUUCAUCUGAACCUUACCUUAGUCAAAAAAUUCAGCUUCAAGUUCAUCUCUACCAAAUGUAACUUCAUCUUAAUCUGUUCAGGUGAGUUAUACUGAUGUAAGAGUGAGUUUAUAUACUCACUUAAAAAGGGAAAGAAUGCGAAGAGAAAAAUCUACAAUUAUAAAUGAAUGACUGAAAUUAAAUUAUAGAGUUAUUUGACUGUUUUAAAGUGGUUAAUUACCUGAUCAUUUAAAAAAUAGAUUUAGAAUUUUGUGUAUUCAACUUUUCGUACUUGAAAUACUAUCACUGCAUUGAUAGUUGUCCACCUUUGGAGGAACAAAAAUAUAAUAAAUUUAAUAGUGGUAUCAGUGUAAUAAAGAGUUUACAUUGUCAAUAAUCAAUCAUAUUCUACCAUUAACAUGAUUUUAAAUUAAGAUAGUUGUUGCAGAAGUUAAUAAAUUUACCAUAUAUAAGUAUGAUAUGCUUUGGCACUGGACGAAUGAUUUUGUACUAUUUUUGAAGUAAAAAAUACUCAUUUUCUUAUGGCUAAAUAAUUCUUACCAGCUACAAACUCAUCUUGCCCUAUUAAUUCUACCCUACCCAAAGUGAUUUUUGAUUAAUUUAUCUAAUAUAGUAUUAUAUUUAUAUUAGUAUUAUCUAUCGCAAAAUUAUAAAUUAAGUAGUUAUAUAUUUCUUUGAUUUUAUAUAAUUUUAAAAAUAGUAUAUUAUGUCAAUAAGUAAAAUUUAGUCCAUCUUAAACUAUAUAUUGGCAUGUCAAAAUGAGAGAGAAUUUAGAUUUAAAAAUCAUCCCUCAAAGAACAAUUAAAGAAAACGGAGUUGAUUUUUAUAUAAAAACAUACAUAAAUAGAGCCGUCGAUUUGUGAUCGAUCAUACGUCACCAAUAUCUUAUUCAUUUCUUUCAUCAUUACUACAUACCAAUCCAUUAGAAUAAAAUAUAAUAAAGUAGGAUAACAUUUAAAUAGUAACCCAUCAAAUCAUGUUUUGAUUAUUAAUAUAUAUAUAUAUAUAUAUAUAUAAUCUAAAUUCUAAACUCUAAAUUAUUUUUAUGUUUCAGAUAAAUUAAUUUAUAGUCAAUUAUGAAAUUAAUUUAUACUACAAUUAAUUGUAAAUUACUCAAAUUUGAUUUGCUAUUACUCAAUGAAAUUUGUUUUCUGGUAAAUUUUAAUGUAUUUUUAAAAAAUUUAUAAAUCAUUUAGUUAAUAUUGAGGAAGAUUGUAUAUGGUUAAAAAAAGUGAUUGGUCCGGACUAGAGUGGCAAUAGUGAUUAAUACACCGUCAGAAUAAGGAUAUUUAUUUACGGAUAAUAUUUUUCUAGAGUUUUUUUUCUACAGAUGUUGGUGUUACAGGUAAUUAUGCAAAAUUACGCAUUUCAGUUUAGUGUGUAGAAUUGGACUUAGACAUUUUUUUAUGAAUGAGUUAAUUGAAAUUUGUUUUUUAAAAGAGGUUUUUUAGAAUGAUUGAAUAUUGUAUAUAUUAUUUAACAUUUAUUUUUUUGAAUGUUCUAAUAUUUACAAAUUUUUCUUACUUCUUAUUUCUCUAAUAAGGAUGAUUUUCUUUCUUUUAUUAAGAGUGAUGAUACUCAUUUGGUUAAAUUGAUUAAGCUUAGUGUGAUAACUUUUUCUAUUUGAAUGAUAUGACGUAUGAGAAACUAUGCUAGAUUUCUGUAUAAGAUUGAUGUUUCUAAGACUAUUUCGAUAAUUAAAGAUUUAACUUGUCCUGUGGGAAGUUUGUUUAAAGUUUCAAUGAAAAAUGAUAUGUUGGAUUUCAACGUGAUUAAGUUUUUUGGUAUUACUAGUAAAUUUCUCCGUCCCCUUCCUGUUAGAUGUGAGUUCCCUUCACCAAGUUAGGUUAAAAUUAACAUUAAUGGAGCUGCUAGGAGAUAUCCUGGUCUUGCUACUCAUGGAGGUAUUUUUUGUGGGAGUAGGAGGGAGUUUAUUGGUGUUUUCUCUGCAUUUCUUGAAGUUCAGAUUGCUAUGGUUGAUGAAUUUUAUGAAGUUAUAUAUACUAUGGAGGAAACUCAAAAGACGGGGCUUACAAAUGAUUUAUAUUUUUUUAUUGCUAAGACUAAUGUUUGGUGAAUUUUUCGUAAUCAAUGAAAUAAUUAUCUUAAUUACGGUGGGAAAAUCAAGUUUAGGGUUACUCAUAUUUUUCGUGAAGAAAAUGUGUGUGCUGUGAGUUGACUAAUUAAGGAUUUAUUCAUAUAAAAUCAUUUUAUUAGUACAAUAGGUUUCAAUCUAGUUUGUUCUUAUUUUGUCCCCCAUAUUUUUUUGUUUUUUUUUAAUAAUAUUUUUUUCAUAUAAUGGCAGAUGAUUAUUGUUACUUUAAGUGUUAGUCUAGUUAAGAUGCAAAAUUGCAUUUAAAUACCUAAAUGAAAGCUUUUAUAAAAAUAUACAUAUAUAUAUAUAUAAAAACUAUUUUUCCAAAGAAAGUUUAUGCAUAUUUUUAUCAAUAAAUUGGUAUUAAUAUAAAUUUUAGAUGAUAUAUGAUGAAAUUAAAAAAUAAUUAAACUACAAUUUUAAUAGAUUAAACCCGAUUAAAUAAAUUAAUUAUACAACGUUUUAUUUUAUUUUUAUCACUUAAUUUAUCGUAGUACCUUCUACAAAUUGUCCAAAUCAUGACACUCUUUGCAUUAUUUAUAUAAAUAUACACUUUUAAAGAAAUAAAAUGCAAAGCCAAAUAAAUUGUUGAAGCACAUACGCUACGCAACACAAUCAAAAUAAGUUAUUUUAUUAGACUUCUAGAAUAAGAGGGACUGGUAGAAGACACGUCAUCAACGACAGCAAAUCUUACAUUAAUAUAUCUUUAGAGAGAGAUUAUUGCAAACAACAAAUAUUAAAUAAUUAAUAUAUUUUGCAGGAAUCUAACCAAUUAUUAAGCUUCCUCCUUUUAUAACUUUUUAUAGAAUUAGUUGAGUUGGAUACAUAACAUAAAAAAAUAGUAAUGUAUUUAAGAGAGUUAAUAAUGCAUUAAUUGAAGUAAUAUAUUUGCUUAAAUAAUGCAUGUUAACACUUGGAAAACUUAGAAUAUUUGACAAAGUUAUCGAAUUUCAUGUUUCCAAUUAAGUUACUUUAUUCCUUUUUAAAAAUAUUUUUUAUAUUAUUUUUCUAUGUGAUAAAAUAUGAUUGUUGAAAUAUAUGGUGUCUUGAAUGUUAAACUUUGUGAUAUUUAUCAUGAUAUUUUUAUAAAAAGGAUUAAAAAAAAUUAUGUUAUUGUCUAAAAUUCUUCCAAAAUAAUUCUUAUACAACUAUCACCAACAAAAUUCUAUUUCAUUUAAAUAGUAAAAAUGAUGAGAACUCCUAAAAAUUAUCAAAACUUCAUCAAUUAAGUAAUAUUCCAUCUAAUAACUUUGAGAGGGUAACACCUUUAAUAUUAAAAUUAGUUUUUUAAUUACUUAGGAACAAAUUUUUAUUGUUAAAAUUUUGAAAAUAUCUUACAUAUAAAAUCUGAAACAUAACAUAAUGUCAUGAGUUAUCCAUACACAUAAAUAUGUGUGUAUGUGUCAACAUAUAAUAUUUGUAAGUUACAAUAAUCUAAAAUAUAAAAAAAUAUGAAUAAUUGUUAUGAACUCUUACUUGAAGUAUUCUUCAAAAGAGGGAGGAUGUAUCAAAUCUAAGAGGUGUUGACUCAUGAAGAUGAAGUAAGCUUGCAAUAUUCAAGGAUAUCAAAACAAAAACAAAAGCAAUUUUGAAAAAAAAUUAGAAAAAAAUAUUUCUAACUUAAAUCACUAAAAAAAUUCAUGAAAUAGACCAAUUUUAAAAAAAAAAUAAUUAGUUGUUAUAAUGAUUAAAUUAGAGACUAUUUUAAAAACUAAAAAAAAAUUAAUUUAUAAAUUAGUUUAUAUUAUUGUUAAAUGGUUUUUAAAUUGAUAUCUGAUUAACUACCAAAGUUUUUCUACCAAAUUUAGAAUCUAAAUAAUUAGUAGUUAAAAUUUAUAAUCUAUUCAACCCAUAUCUCAACAAAACUUUAUACAUGCAUAUAUUAUACUGUAAAAAAAGAAAUUGAAAUAUAAGAGAAAAAUAUUAUUAAAAGUAAACAUAUAAAAAGAUUAAAUUAUUCUAAACUUGUAUCUUCUAGCCAAAGGAAAAAUGAAAAAGGUUUCAAAAAUUUAAAGAGAAAAAAAAAUAUAAAUAAUUUUUUUUAGAGAAACGAUAAGGUUUAUAAAUGAAUUACUAAUUAAUUAAAAUUUUAAUUUAUAUCUUAAAUAUAACUUUAUCACUUUAACCUUUAUUUUUUAAAUAAUUUCUGUUUAACAUAAAAACUUACUUUACAUUUCGAUUUACAUUGGAGAGAUUAUAUAUGAUUGUAAGGCAUAAGACGUUUAAUUAACUAUUAUUAUAACAUAAAUGCAUUCGAGUUUGCAAUUUUUUUUAUUUGUUUGGCAGAAAUGUUGUUUUAUGCAAAUGCGAUUAAGCAUGUGGUGUAGUCCUUGAAUGUGAAACAAAGUUGUGAAUACGAACUCCAAAAUAUUCUCAUGAAAAGUAAGUUGAAUUAUGAAACACUUGUAGAAUUAAGGGUUUAGAAAAAUAAUUUAUGACCUAUUUCUUUAAAAACUAGGUAAAACUAAUUGGGGUUGGAAUGUACUAUUUACAUGAAUUUUAAAUUAAAAAAUUGAUAGAAUUAAAAUAGUUUAUAUUGUAUUGGGGGAGGGAAAUUAAGUAGAAGUACAUAAAAUAAAACAUGUCUUUUAAUUACUAACGAUGUCCCCAAUGAAAAGUGGCACUUUUUCCAACCAUUCAAUUAUUGGAUCUGUUCCUUUGAAGAGCCAUUACAAACGUUCCACUCAUUUGUCGCCCAUUGUUUUAGUCUAAAGUCUCAAAAUCCAUGCUACAUCACGGGUCCAGCGUAAAAGUUAUUCAUUCCAUCUUUUCAUUUUUUAAUAAAACUUUACAAUUUCAUCUCUAACUUAAUUUUAUACAUUUUUUAAUUUCUGUUCUGUUGUAUGAUCGGGAAAAACUCUCCUUGCUUAUUAUAUUAAUACUUCUUCUAAUCUAAGUAUUUGGUAUAUGAUGUUUGAAUGGAAUAAAUAUUGUUUAAUUUUUUUUUAUCAGUAAUAAAAAAAAAAUCACUUUAGGAGUGGUCCAACCCUUAUACAUAAAGAACUAGCGUUUUAUCAACCUCCAACCAAAAAACAUCUUCCAACUUAAAUAAGGAACAACCAAACCAACUAAAGAAAGCAUUAAACAACCAGCCUCAUACAAUUCAAUGGGUUCAAAAUCCAGUUGAAGUACGUAAAGGAAUUACAAGAGAACUUUGUUCAACCCUAAAUAUUGUUCAAUUGAUACAUUUAUCUUGAUUUCAUUGUGUAUUUAUAGGAUAGUGGUAAUUUUUUUUAUAUUAAACAUAAAUUAGAAUGAACAAUCAGAUUAAUUACGAUGUUAGAAUUAUGUUGUAACAUAAUUAUUUAAAUUAUGUCGUAAAAAAAGAAUGUUUAUUAAGUUAUUGAGAACUAGUUUCGAUUAUGUUAUCUAUUAAAAUCAAUCCAUUUGUUAUUUCUCUAUAUUUCAUCUAUUUAUUCAAAAUUAUUUAAUGAUAGAUUUGUUUCUAUUUUUAAAAUGUGAAAUAUUUAUUUAUAUCAGUAAAAUAUAAUCGUACGUAUUUAACUAUGAAUAAUGCACGCUAAUUUGAAGGAAUAUUCAAAAUAGGAUAAUAAGAUUUCAAAAAAUCACAUGCCUGUCUUUUAGAAUAGGAUAAAUAUGAUGGAAGGACACAAAAUUUUGACUUUUUUAAUAAAUAGUGGGAGAUUAGAAAUGACUUGUUUAGUAGAGGAAAGAAAAAGAGAGAAGAUAAGUGAAAGAGAAAAGAAAAUAAGAACAGUAAGUAAUAAGUAUAGUAAAUUAGAGGUGAUUUAAUUUAAUAAAAUAGGUGAGAAUAAAAUAAAAUAGAGAUAGUUUGAUGGAAGAACAUUAUAGGAGAAAUAAAAUACAAUUUAAUUUUUGAUAUUUUUAAUUUUAAGGUUAUGUAUUUGCAUUAACCUUUUGUUAUUUAUAAUGUUAUUAUGUUAUUAUUAUUUUAUUUCUUUUAUUGGCAUUAUUUAUAUUACUAUGAUUAUCAUGGGAGAGAAGUGUAUAAUGAAUUAUGAAUUCUCCCAUAUUUGAUUAUACAAUUUAUUUUUGGUAAAAUAAUAAUUAUACUUUUUUACAUGCGGUAAUAACAAAUUUCCGGCAUUUUUUCACUUUUUUGUGCGUUAGCAUAUUAUUUUAUUUUAAACUUCAAAUAUCAACAUUAAAUAAGAAAUAAACUAUUAUAUAAACUAAGAAAAUGAUGAAUUACCGAGUUUUACGUGUGACUAAUUAAUUUAAUAGUAACGAAUAAAAUGCCUCUAAAUUUAUAUUUAUAUAUUUUUUCUUUUAAUAUAUAUAUAUAUAUAUAUAUUAUAGAUAUUUUUUAUUUUCUCUCUCUCUAUAUAUAACUCUUAAUAUUUUUAUUCUUGUCUUUUAUUUUCAUAUUUACAUUCUUACAAAGACUUGAAGUAACUUAAAUUCUUUUUUACCUUCUCAGAUUUAUAUUCUUUUGAAGUUUUUUUGAAGUUAUCUCUCAAAGUGACUUGUCAAUUCUAAAUUAUUAGAAUAGACAACUUCGACAUGCAGUUCUUUUCGUUUCAGGUUCUAUCCUUUUAUUAUUUUCUAAUUACCGAAAAAGUAUUUUUAAUUAUCGUUAUUUUUUGUUUUAGUUAUAAAAUUAGAAAAUAUCAAACAAAAGGUGGGAAUUCAGUAACAAAAAUUAAGAAAAAGAAAAAAAAAUCAAUCAAGACUUCUAAAUUUGUUACUAUUCAUAAAAAAGUUAUAGAAAUAAAUUUAAUUGAUGAAAGUGAUUAAUCAUCUAUAAAUAUAUUAGAAAUGAAAAUGUCGGCACAACAAGUGAAAAAUUAGAAGAUUAUUUAUAAAAAUAGAUAAUUUGUAUCAUAUUAAUUUUUUAUAAAAAAUUAGCCGGCUCACCCUAAAAUUAAAUUUGGAAAAGUUUAUUUACUACACAAAAUAACAUCUGUUCUUCAUUAGUGAUAGCUUAUUUUAUUUCUUUAUUAGUGAUAAUUGUUCCCGUAUGCUAAUACAGUCCCACAUCGCUUAAGAAUCGAAGUCAAUGACAGUUUAUAUACUCAAUUCAUCCUUCAAGACGCAUUUUAAGGACAAAAUAGUGACAGAGCACCGACCUUCAAAACGAACAAUACCUCGAAUGCGGUAAUUGACCAUAACGAUGCUGCCCAACAACCUAAGGUUGAAGCAAUAACUUAUUUAUUGCGUAUAAAAUAACUGUUCACGUGAAAUAUUAUUUUUACUAGUGAAUUAGUAUUUUUGUCAUGAAUUAUAUAAUAUAAAAUGGUUUCAUUCUUGAUGUUAUUUUCUGAGCCUUCAUUUUUGGGGCAAAAUUAGAGCAUAAAAUUUGUUGAAAAAGAAGAAGUGCAUGGUGGAGGGGACAUUUAGCCACGUGUUGCUACAUCGUCCGUUUAUUUGUGUCGCGAGAAGCAAGAUCAUGUGGGUGACCUCAUUGGGCUCCAUAUUGAGGGGGCUAAGCUUCAUAAAUUUUAGGUAUAUAUUCUCUCUUCAAAAUCAUUCCUCAAUAAUGCCACAUUUCAAAUCGCCAUUAUUAGGGAUAACAUACCUGCUUAUUAUCCCUUCAACUAAUCAUUUCACAUUAUCUCCAAUACCCAAAUAAUAUUUUCUUUAUAAAAUUCAUAAUAAAAACUUAUCAUAUUCAUAAUAAGAAUAAAAAUGAUCUAUCAUAGUUAUUUUGAGAUAUUAAUAUAAAAUCAGAGUUAUUGAGUUAUUUUGAAACUAUUAGACGUUUCAGAAUUUGAGGAUGUUAAAUGUUGUUGGCAGUGAGAAGGAGAAGAUUAAUGAGAAGGUGCAGGUGACAUGGGAGAAUCAUAAAAGCAAGGAAGCCCCACUAAAAACCAGAAGCAAAACAUAUUUGUGAGUAGUCACAAAACCCCGUUGAUUCCACAGUCCAACCUCUCUGUUGAAAUAUGAAUGAAGUGUAGAGUAGACAAAGAACAUUAAUUGAGACGUGGAUGGUGUUGUAUGUGGCGACAAAAGAGGAUGAAACUGAGAAACUUAGUGGGAUACUCUUUAUCCUUAUCAACUUCGUGAUUUUACUCCUUUCGCACUUCACUCUGCUCACACCUCCCUCACCCAUAUUCUUCUGCACCACAUCAGAGGAUCAAACAACGUAACAAAUAACUAUCUCUGCGUCUCUGUGUUCGCACACACAUACGGUGGGUGCAAGUAAAAUGGUAUGCCAAAUCGAGAAAGAGAGGGAAAAAGAAAGGAAUGGGAUCUCAAUUUCAUUACUAUUUUUUAAAAAAAAAAUUAUCUUUUUGACUUUUUAGAAAUCGAAAUGGUUAAAGUGGCCACCGGACAUAAUAAAGAAAAAACAAAAGAAAGUGAUAAAUAAAGUGCCCUAUACGAAAUUACGUGGUUCUACAAAAGGCCAGAAAGCGAAAGUUCCCCUUGAAUGCAAAAGUGUUGAUGGAGAGGAGGGCGAAAAAAUUAUUGCAAGAAAAGAAACAGACAAAAAAGUAAUGCAAAGAAAUGUUUUCAGUACAUUAUCAUGAGUAGAUGAAUGAUGAAUUUAGUGGAUAUGGGUCCAAAGUUCCAAAUUAGAAUUCAGAAAUGUGGUUUUGUUUGGAAGUGCCUAGUGGGUCUAUGCUAUAUAAUAACAAAUAAACCAUUAAACAAUGGGUGGGUUAUGAUAAUACAAAUCAAUAUUGCAAAUUUUUUUAUACAAUGUAAGGAUCGGUUGGCUACAAGUCCUUUUCACGCUUAGGUGGGGUUUACCACAAUAAAAAAUAUCACCAGCAAUCACAAGGAUCGCUUCUACCACAACACAUUAUUCUUAAUUAACUACCAUUUUCAAAAUAAUUAUCUUAACCUAAAUUAACCUCAUAUAUAUACAUUGGAUGAUGGUGUAAAAUUGUAUACACUUCCAAUAACUAAAUUAAAGAUUUAUAUGAUGGAAUAUUAUUUUCUGCAAGUGUUGUUAUCACAGCAAAGGCAAUUGGAGCUGAUGAAUAGUGCAGAAGGGAAUAACCUAGCUAUACCUCGAGAAAGAAAGGAAAAGAUAGGGAAAAAAAGAGGCAAAGUGGUGAAACUUGAGAAGAAAAUCUAAGAGCAGAAAAUCUGAGAUGAAGUUGCAAAGGAGGAGCACCUGAACAGAAGUGAAAGAAAAGCUGUAAAUGAUAAGUGCACGUGUGCAUCAUUGUAGAUAGAUUGAGGCCAACAGAUCUGAUACAACCCCGGGGACCAGAUGAACAGUGUUGCUGGGAACUAAUCUUUAUAUAUAAAAGAAGGAUUAGACCUUAUUUGACUCCAUGUGUUCUUGUUGCCCUUGUUUCAAACACCAGAUCCAAAACAAGACAAGGAUGAAAGAUAAAAAAGAAUCAUAAGCUUUUCAUUUUUUAAUUCAUUUAUCUACCAAACUAAAAUGGAAGGCUAAAUUCAAUUCCUUGGUUUCCUUCCAUAAAUUGCACUGUUCUGCAGAAUCACAUCAUUGCUGUGUAUGUAUAUAUAUGAUUCUUCUUUUCCCAUCAAUCUAUCUCUCACCGAAUUUGUUUUCCAACUGCACCUUGGAGCUUCACCGGGUGAAGACAAAAUGUCAAAAUGAAAUUGAAAUGAAAUGAGAUGUGUUGUUCUCGCUCAUGGCAUCAGAAAUAUACGCUACCCAGUGAGAAUAAACAAAUAAAUAUAUAUAUAUAUAUAUAUAUAUAUAUAUAUAUAUAUAUAUAAUGCAAAGAAAAAUCCAUAAAGAGGGAUACGAUUCUCUCCCUCACACUCUCGAACAGUAAACUUCAUCAUAAGAAAACGAGGAAUGGAUUUCACAUGAAAGUGAAAGGCCUUGGACUCUUCUGCAAGCAAAACAAGGUGUUAAUUUUAAUCUAUGCCUCCACCACUUCCAUUCAGCUACCUCAUUUCAUGAAACACCGGAAAACAAAACAAAGAAGAUCAAACAUUGAGAAACCUAGUACUGAAACUGAAACACCACUUCAAAGUAUAACAGAAUCAGAUAGUUUUAGUUACACUAUAUAUACAUAUAUAUUACUCUAUAUAUGUAUUCCUUGUUAGGGGUUAAAUUUUUACACUAACCAUAGAUAAAUCAGCAUAAAUAAAUAAAUAUAUAUAUAUAUAUAAAGCGCAAGCAGAGAUAAUUUCCUUAAAAAUAAAGAUAGAUAAUAUGAGUAUGAAUUGGAAAAAAAAUGAUGAGAAUUAUACUAUACGGAAGUAGUAGCAGUAGUAACAUUAGGAAUAGCAGUAGGAGCAUCAGUAACGGGAGCUCCGUUAGUAGGGUUAUUAGAAGUAGUGGUGGUUACAGUAGAAACCGUGGCGGUGGUGACAGUGGUGGAGAUAGUGGUUGUGGUUCUCUUGCGCUUCUUCUUCUCGUAGGGAAUUCCUCGUGCUUUGGCCUGGGCUUCCCUUACCUCUCUGAGGUAAAUUCGGACAGCCCGAGUGGCGAAGGGAUUGGAUUCGGGACGGCCUCCGUUUUCUUCAAAGGCCGCCCUGAGUCGUCCGAUUAGGGCGUCGAGGCUGCCCCAGGCCUGCUUCAGAGGGCAGGCGCAAGGCGCUGGAGGGUUGGGGUGUCCGAAAUAAGGACACCCCGAAAUAUGCACCUUAGUCUUCCCGAACUGGUCGAGGUACUUGAGAAACUCGAUCACGUGCGCCCCACUGCACCGCGCCAACGUCAAUGGCGGCUUGUGGUUCCGCAGGUACUGCAAGAACGUGUUCCAGUCCCGCCGCUUCUGCGAUUCGUAGCGGCUUGGCACCGCCUGAGGUCCUGACCCCUCGGCCUGCAGAGCUGGUGCUGAUCCCUCGGCCGGAGCCUCGGAGGCGGCGGGCGUUGUGGCUGCACCUGCUGCAGCGUCCAUGAGGAUGGUGAGGAGUAACAGGAAGCAGAAAGAGGUCGUUGGAUUGGGGAAAUGGAGAGAAGAGAAGAGAAGAGAAGAGAAGAGAAGAAAAGAGAAGAGGGAGCAGAAGAGAGAAGGGUUAAAUAAAUAUAUUUGUUUAUGUGUUGUGUUAUUGAGGGUUGAGGGAGAGAGAGAGAGAGAGAGAGAGAGAGAAAGAUUGGGUGAUGGGACGUAAAAAAGGCGAGUUGAAUGAAUUGAAUGAAUGAGAGGGAGAAGGUGUUUGGUUGAGUGAUGCUGGUGGGGGCGAGUGAAGAGCGUUUUGCACAGUGUUCACAAAUUCACAUGGUGGCCCCUCUUGACAUGACCACUUUACUAUUCACCACCUUGGCCCCUCCCCUCCCUCCCUCCCUCCAUUUUUUCAUCUCUUAAUAACCAUUUUUCUAUCUCACAAACCAAUAAUCUUCGCUCCUCGCUCGCUUAACAAUAACUACACGUCACAUUAUUAAGAUGCUGCAUAAACUUCCCACUGUUAAAUAAUGCCUCUCUCUGGUUUUUCAACUUGCAACACUUCAUAUUGCGCCUGCCCUCGCUAGAUCCCAUCACUAAUAAAUGGAGUCUUCAACUAGUCAAAUAUUUCAUGCUAGCCCCUCCUCUUCUUCAUCUUCUUCUUUCAAUUUGUAAUCUUAUAUUCCAUGUAUCACACACUAGUGAUAGACGAUAUAAAAUAUAAAAAAAUCCGUAUAAUUUCAAAAAUGUAUGGUAUAGAAACAAUUUUAUGUGUACAAGAUAUAUUAGUUUUUUUUUUAAUUAAAAGAUAUUUUUUUAACUAGUUUAAAAGGGUUUGUUUAUUAUUUUUUUAAUCAUAAUAAAAAUGUAUACAAUAAAUUUGAAUUUUUAGAAAAUUAAUAUAUAUAUAUUUUUUAAAUUAUGUUAGAAUCGUGUUAAAAUUGUCAAAAAUUUAAUAAAUAUUUUCUGAAUUAAACACUUCACCGACACAAAUAUCAGUGUCUAAUAUGUUGAGUAUGAAAUGAAGACCAAUUGGGUUGGGCUGAAUAUACAUGUUUUAGUGAGUGGGCUUAAUCAUUGUGUCUCUUUAUUAUCUCUAUUUAUCUCUAUUUAAAGAGAGAUCAUUGUACUUGUAAUUGGGUGCAACAGGAUAUAAUGUAAACCUAAUAGUUGCCCGUGUGGAUGUAGGUUGCAGUUGACGACCGAACCACGUUAAAUCUUGUGUCGUUUAUUUUUACAGUUAAUUCGUGAUUAUGUGUUGUUUCCGCGUACGUUUUUCCCAUCACAAUAUGUAUAUACGAGAUAGACAUACUAUUUAAGAGAAGUAUACGAAUUUUAUAGGAUAAUCGAAGUGCGUCUUCAUUUUUAUAUUUAUAAACUAUUGGAAUAAAUAUAUUAGCCUCCUACUGUAGUCCCAACGCCUAAGUACAAUACUCUUUUUUUUUUAAUUUCUAAAAUUGUUUUCUUCUGCUUUUUAAAUUUAUGUCGAAUAUUCAGUUGUUGUCUGCCCUUCGUCUUUGCCUUCUUCAAUAAUGCCCUUUGCUUCAGUUUAUUUGUUUUUUUUUUACAUUUAAAUAAUUAAGUGCAGGAAAAAAAGUGUACUAAACCCAAAAACAGAGAGUGAGAGAGAGAGAGAGGAGAUUCUUUUCCAAUUGUUGAAGCCAAUGGGGAAGAAGAUGGUGAUUAUUUUUUCCCCAUUGUUUUACAAAGUUAACUUGCUACUACAACUACUACUAUAAAUGAACUAAUCUAGUGAGACAAAGUAACAACUUACAUUAUUUAUUCAGAAUAAUACUAUACAUUUAGGAAGAGUAAUUAUAGUUUCUAUUCAAUUUAAAGAUAAUUAUUCCAUGAAAUCAAGUUAUACGACUCCAUAAGUAUGCUUAAAAAACCUCACUCUCUAACACUAUUUCAAAUUCAAAUAAACAAUACUUUGAAUAUUAUAUUACAUUUGUUGCAUUAGUUAUAAGUAAUGAAAUAAAAAUAUCUGUAUUUUCUAAUGUCACGCACGUGUAUCUUUAUAGAACCUAAUUUUGAAACAGUGCAUUAUAAAACAAUAAAAUAUUGUUUUUAAAUAUUUAAUGUAAUUAUAUAUAUCGAAAUUCAAAAUUAUUAAUUAAACAGAAACGAUUCGGGCUAGUUAACAAGUUCCCCUCGUAAUUAAAUAUAUAUUUUUUUAGUUAUGGAAUGAAUAAUAAGUUUGUGUUAAAUUUGUUUAUUUUAAUUUUAUUUGUCACAUUCAUGAAUCAGUAGCAUAUAGGUUAUUAGUCCAUUUAUUUCAAUUUAUAAUGUAUGACGUCAAUUCGAAUAUAUGAUUAGAAUUAAGAAGGAGAAUGGAGGGUAAAGUGUUUUUCCAUUUGUAACUAUGGCAGCAUACACAAAUUGUAAUUAAAUUUAAUCAAGUGUGUUUAAGUUUUUAGCUAACCUCACUUUUUAAUGAAUGAAAAAAUGCAUUCAUAAUAUAAUUGAUUUUGUAUAUUUACUAGCAGUAAAUAAAUAAUAUAAUAUUAUAAACUAAAUAAACUAUAUAUAACUUGUAUUUUGAUAUCAUUUAUUUUAAUUACAACUUAACGAAUCUAUAUUAAAAUAAAUUUACAUUUUCAUUCGUUUCUUUUAAUAUUUUAAUUUGAAAUAAGAUAUUAUUAUUGAAGCAAUAGUAUUUUUUUCAUGUCAUCGGAAAUUCAAAAUAAAAUUAAAAAAUAUAUUAGAAACCAUCUUGUAUUUCAAUAUUUUAAUCAAAAUUAAAAUAACCCUUUUAAUAAUAUCUCGAAAAUUAAUAUUUUAGAAAAUAUUCUCUAAAAAUUAUUGCAUCAAUUAUAAUACCUUAUUUUAGUACUGAGGUUUCCUUUCCAAAUUUAGUAUCUUAUAACUUUUUAGUGUUAAGUUAAAAAUAUCAUUGAAAAUGAUUGAUUAUAUUUAUUAGCAGAAAAAAACUGGUGACAUACUAAGAAAAAUCAUUACAUCAAUAGUAAUAUUUUAUUUCUGUAACUAAAAUAUCCAAAUAAAAAUAAAUUUUAAAUUUUAUAAUAGAAAAAACAAUUAAUACGAGGUGAAAAGAUAUAAGAGAUUAAGAGUAUUAAAAGUAUAAAUUAAUUAGUAUUUAUUUGAUUUUAUUAUAUUAUUUUUUUACUAGUGUUAAAUGCACAUACUUUUUUAUUUUACACAUAUUUAUAUUUAUAUUUUUUUAAAAUAUAUUUUUAAAGACUUUUAUCUUAUAAGAUAAAAGUGUGAAUUUAUUAAUAGGUAAUUAUGUUUAAUAUAUAUUUGAGAUGGUUUUUGAAUUUAAAUGGAAUAUAAUAGUUGUAUUUUAAAUUAGGGGUGAGAAUAGAAUUUGGGGUGGUAUUUAUAGUAAAUAAUUAGGUUAAGGUUGUUGAGCUUUAGACUUAAAUUAACAGAGGUGAUUUUUGUAAAUUGGAGGUGGUGUAAGUAGAAAUUAUAAGGUUAUUAACUAGAGUAAAAUGAAUUAUUUAUUCUCCUCUCUAUUUCAUCUUCUCUCUAAAACCCAUGGACUUAGCCAAUGGGCUUUUUCCCAUGGCAAUAUUCUUACCUCUAUUAUGAAAUUAUUGGCUAUAAGAUAGUUGUCAACAAGCAUAUAAUACAAAUUGUGAAGUAUAGCCUAUGGUAAGUUUUUCAAUUCUCUUUUAUCUUUCUAGCCUUGCAUACAUGUUUGGAUUGUGGAGAGAAAUGAAUUUUUGUUGACUUUUAGAUUAUGGUAGGAUGUUUGAUGGUUAACAUUCCAAGCUUAUACGUGAUCAAGGAAAUAUUAAAGUACUUUUAGCUUCAUCAUCUUCUUCAACUUAUAAAUACCUUGAGUAUAAUGAAUCCAAAAUUAGGAAACUAACUUUGUUCUAAAUUUCAUGUUAGGUUAUGAGUGAAUUAGUGCAUUUAGAUUGUAAAAAUGAGAUUGUAUGUGAAAUUAAGUGGUAUUAUAGUUCAAUUCGAUUGAGUAUAACAAGAUUUCAAUAUAAUACUCUAGUAUAGUGAGUCACAAAUUUGAUCAAAAAGUACCUUGAGUUGUCUUAAUCAUAGUUUGGUAUUUUAGUUGGUGAAAUUGGAGUCAAACUAGUUUAAAUAGAUUCUAACUUGGACAAAAAACAAAAAUUGAAGUUUUUUUUUUUUUUUGUGUAGUUCACUUGACAAUUUUAAAUUUGUUCAAUUAUUCUUAAUUUUGCUCAACCAUUUUCAUUUCGCUUAGCAAAAUUUAGCUUUGUAACUCAAAAUCAAGUUUUUCCCUUUUAGAGACAUUCCAUUGAGCACUUUGAUGUCCACCAAUGGAAUGUGACACAUUCGCUUAACGAAUGUCUAGUUGUUCAAAAAAAUUGGCUUACAAAAAGUUCCAUAUUUUCUCUUUGAAGUGUCUUCAUUCAAUGGUUUAUAAUUCACUUAACAAAUUCAAGGCAGUGAAAUUGAAAUUUUAGUGAUUAACCCAAUAAAAUAAGAAUUCACUCAAUAAAUUCACCUCCAAACAUCAACAUGACAAGUAUAAAUAGUCUCAAGCAAAUUCUCUUUCACAUAAUAGAGUUGAGUGAAUUCCUUAUUGCUCAAGGCAUAAGGAUCACAAACUA
rnacentral:lncRNA from 1 species